UCCCCUCCUCCAGAUCCGCCCGCUGCUGACCAUGCUACUGCGAUGGCUGUCAUCGCCUCUGCUCGUCCGCGUGGACACCGUCCUCGAGUCGCCUCCGCAGCAUGCCCAUGAGGUUUUAAAUCGUCCGCCUCAUCGUCUUCACCAACUGGAUCCAGCAGGGAGCCACCACAACUUCGACAUCGACCUCGUCUUCAUCUUCGGCCACCAGAGCUCUGCCGCGUCAAUCCACUGCACUGCCUCUCCUAAGCUUUCGCCGGGCCGCCGUAUGCCUUCGCGGUGAGCUCAUCAUCCGAUUCCCCUCUUUCUUCCUUUGUUUUAGUCGUCGUAGCCCGUCGUUCCACCGCCAUGGCCGGAGCUCGCGAACGCCAUAUGCGCCCAGCCGCCGUUGGCUGCGCCCUAGGCCAUGCACGCACGCGCGCCCGUUCUCCACGCCCGCGCCCUCUGACUCCCGUCGCUCCUUUCCCUGCCAGCCCCGGCCGCGCUCCUUGCCCGUUGCUGCCAUUCCUCUGUUGUUCUCUCGCUGCUGCUCUUGCAUACUGCUGCUUCUCUGCCUACUGUGCUGCUGCGUGCUGCUCUAAGCUGCCACUGCUUCUGCAUGACGUGCUGCCGCUGCUACUAAUUACUACUGCCGCUGCCGUGCGCUGCUUGCUGCUGCUGGUGGCCAUGGCCAUGGCCAUGGCUAGCAUGUGUGUGCGCGUGCUGUGUGUGUUGAGUGCGUACGUGUUGUGUGUGCGUGCUCUGUGUGUGUGCAGCAUGUGUGUGCGCGUUGUGCAUGCGUGCAGUGUGUGCGUACAGUGCGUAUGUGCGCUGAGUGUGUGGCCGCGCCCACCACCGGCCUCGCCCGCCUUCGGCUGGCCUUGCCGUGCCGCUGCUGCCACUCCCUCUUGCUGCUCUUCCGGCUGCACUGGGCUGCUGCUCCGCUGCUACAGUAAUGUUCAGUUACUGUAGCAGUAGCCAGCUUUGCAACUUUAACACUAACGAGCCCUCUUGACAGCCCCUAAACAACAACUAAACAAAAGUUAAUAUGAGUAAAAUUCAUAUGGGCCUGUAGUACACUUGACAGGGUUCAAUACAAAAGUCACCUAGAUUAAUUCCUAUGAAAAUGACAAAAGUCUAUGUUCAGUUAACAGAAAAGGCUGAAAAUAGAGUUAUUGUGUUAGCUACUUUAGAGCAGAAAAUAAACAGGAUACAGGGUUCUAACAGAGAUGCAAUUGACACCAUCCUGUAGAUCACAGAAAAUUGGUCAAGAUUGGUAUUAGGUACCAAUUCAUAAGAUGGGCAGAACACUAGUUAUAGCCUCUGGAAAACAGCCAAGUGAGGUUUAAAGACUGAACUAUUCUCAGACUUAGCCAAUUUUCAGGAUUUCCAAAUAAUUAUUUAAAUCUUCGAAAAUUCAUAGAAAAUAAACUAUAGCUCGGAUCGAAAAACUUUCUACAUGAAAGUUGAUCAGAAAAACAAGACGAAUCUGACCGUGCCAUCUGUUUCCUUGUCAGGACCCUCUAUGGAGGCGAACCCGCAACUUUUUGCCCGUUUCCGGUAGAUGAAUAGUGCAUACGUUAGCAUAGCAUGCUUUGUGUUGCAUAUAUUAGCUGUGUAUUUAUUUGUUUCCUUCCCAUCUUCUCUCUCGGUAGAUCUCGGUAGUGACACAGUCCCCGAGACCGACGCAGCUCCGGAGAUUGAUGACACCAUUGAUGACCCUGCCUUUGCCGCAGAGCAACCAGGCAAGCCCCCUCCCUUUGAUCAUCCCGAUAUCGUCGAUUCCAUUCUAUCAUGCUUGAAUUAGAUUUUGCUAUUGUUAUUGUUUGCUCCUAUUCUGAUGCAUAGCUUGCUUAUUGUUACCUUACCUACUUUCCUAAACUGCUUAGUACAGGUUGGUUAGUGAUCCAUCAGUGACCCCCCACCUUGUCCUUGUUCCCCUACUUCAUCAUUGAAGACCCGAUCAACGGGAUUGAAGACCAGGCCCCAACACCGCACAUCACUUUCCCCUUAGUUGCUCGACACUACUGGGUUACUAUCGAGUGCCGAGGGUGAGACUUCUACAGCACUUCUGAUGUUAACCCUGUAGUGUAGCUAUUCGGUCGUGGUCAUCGAGGGUGAUUUCCUAUUUAACCACUUCCGAAACGACUCUGUCAUGCAACCCCUCAAGUGUGGACCUCGAGGGUGGUCCCUCUUUCAUUCACCUUGAUGAUUACAUCGAGUGGAAUUCACCGGGGGUGAUUCCUCGGGUUUUCCCCUUGAUGUUUGGACACACGGAUACUUGGACUUUACAACUGUUACUUGAAAAGGCGGGUCGACCCUGAGGGGUACCCGCGAGUGAUGUGGAGACGAGUUGACCUGGAGUGUGCCCGAGAGUUGAAUACGAGGCAUGGCCGGGCAUUCUUACCCCCUGCCGCAAGUCCUCGAGACGGGGCGACGGGGUCACAUCUUUCGUGAGUCUCUGCUCGUGACCGCACUACCAACACACUAACGGUUUGGAUAUUUGAUCCAAGGGGCCUCUGGCCUGAUAGCACUAACCAUCAUGUGGGCAUAGUAUGGGCGUUCUGCGUCGUAUACAUCAGCCGAAGCUUAAUAGGAUUCAGCGACUGAGCGGCGCACGCCGGGUUGGACUGGUAAGCACCUGCCUUUUUUAAGGAGGUAGCUAGGUCUGCUCACCAGCCACCCACGCAACAUGCAGGAGUUCCCGGGGAGAUGGCCCAUGACCCCUGGGGCAUAGAUUUAGCCCGGCGUGCUGACCUCUCUGUUAAGUCUAGGUCGGGUUGCGGCAUAUUGUUUGGCCGAGGCCGGGCAUGACCCAGGAAAGUGUGUCCGGCCGGAGUUAAUCGAGCAUGGUGGGUAAGUUGGUGCUCCCCUGCAGGGAAGAAAACAUCUAUCGAUAGCCUGUCCUACGGUAACGGACACUUGGAGUUGUAUCCCGAUCGAUACAACUAGAACUGGAUACUUGAGAUGAGACUUGGAUAUGAGAUGAUAACUGGAUAGUAUGGCUCUGGGAUUGCUUUCUCGCAGGGAGUCGAGAAAGGAUCUCUAGCCGAGGUAGACAACACUACUACUACUUUACUUUAUGCUACUCUACUCCCUCCUAUUGCUGCAAGAUGGUGGUUUCCAUAAGAUGCUAGUCUUCGAUAGGACUAGGCCUUCUCUCUCUUCUAGCAUUUCUGCAGCCCAUUCCACAUAUACAACCUUCCUUUGAUAAUGUUGCAUAUGUAGUGUAGAUCCUUGCUUGCGAGUACUUUGGAUGAGUACUCACGGUUGCUUUGCUCCCCCUUUUCCCCCUUUCUUUUUCUUUCCGGUUGAUGCAACCAGAUGUCGGAGACCAGGAGCCAGAUGCCACUACCGAUGCCUACUACUACGUGGAGACCAUUGACGACCAGGAGUAGUUAGGAGGCUCCCAGGAAGUAGGCCUUGCCUUUUCGAUCGUAGAUGCUUUUGUGCUAGCCUUCUUAAGGCAAACUUGUCUAACUUAUGUCUGUACUCAGAUAUUGUUGCUUCUGCUGACUCGUUGUAUUCGAGCUUAUGUAUUCGAGUCCUCGAGGCCCCUGGCUUGUAAUAUAAAGCUUGUAUUAUUUGAAUUUGUGUCUAGAGUUGUGUUUUGAUAUCUUACAGUGAGUCCCUGAUCUUGAUCGUACACAUUUGCGUGUAUGAUUAGUGUACGAUUGAAUCAGGGGCGUCACAAGUUGGUAUCAGAGCCGACUGCUUGUAGGUAGCCCCCUUUCCAACUCCUUGGCCGAAGUUGAGUCUAGUCACUGAAAAACUUUUACUAACAUUGGUUGUGUGUCUUACGGGCCCACGUUGCCAUUGGGUGGUAUUAUGAUCUUUUACUCCUCGUCUAUACUCUGGGAUUCUGAUCUAUCUUCUAUUCGGGUUAAACAUUUUACUAACUCUGACAUUGGGUUAUCGUAACCACUUCCUCCCGGAGAGCCCCUACAUUACCGAUGAUCGCUUGCUUCACCAGAUGAUUCUGCGGAUACUCCUCGAUGUUUCCCGAGACCCUGUUCCCACUGCUUUGCAGUCCUAACCACCGAUAAGUCCCCAUGGAUACCAUCCUUGCCAUUUGUACCUUCAUCCCCAGUUGCUCUUGUUGUUACAAGUUACCCCUAACACUCUCCGUUGUUCCGAGAAUCCUUUGUGUCUUAUGCUUUGCAGCUUCUUUUCGCACUAUGGAUAACUCACUUACCCGGGGUCCGUUCCUCCCCAGUUGUUCACAUGCUUUCCAAAAUACUUUGAAAUGCUAUCUGAUCUCCCCAAAAUCCUCCGUGGCCUUUUACUUUUGAUUCCCCUCGCCUGCUUGUAUUAUGGUUAAUUCCAUAUGUCUAGCGAUAUUUAUUAAAAUCCUUUGUGAUUGUCACUCUGUUCCUACGGAUUCAACGUAUGUGCGACUACUCACAAUCAUCAAUUCAUCCAUAGGAAUUUACUUUCCGGCUCAGACAUCAUUCCGGAUAUGAGCUGGUUCUUGCCCAAUCAAGAUUCGAUUGGUGUGCCUCUAAGUCUGUUCAACCUAUCCAUCUUCGAUCGGAGCAUCUGAUCUGAUACACCGAUCUAGAAAUCCAAUUUCUUUGUAUUUAAGCAUCGAAUUAUUCAGAUGUUUCCAUAAACCAAUGCCCUUGCAUUUCUUCUUCUUCUGGUUGGAUGCUAAUACUCACAUCAACUCCGUCGUGAAUCGCCAGAUCCAUUGUUGGAUUGUAUCCGACAGUGUCCAUCGCAUUCAAAAACCUCGAGAGUUCUUCCCCUUAUACAUGAUGCCUUUGGCAAAUUGUAUCCUCUCCUUACAUUCGAGUUUGUGUUAUUUACUCCUAAACACUGCGGUGUAGGUUCCUAAGAUGUCCCAAUGGGUUGAACCUAUGCUUUUCCUAAUCCAUGUGAACUCGAAAGUUAUGCGAGUCAUACUCUUCUGGUGCUUCACCAGAUAAAUCUUUAACACUACAACUUCAUCAAAAGCAAGAAGUGAAUGAAAGGUUAUGCAUUGAAGAAGUGGGAGUCGACCUUGAACUUAGUGUUCAUGCCCAUGGACCCGAUGUGGAACUUAUCAUGGAAGCUUCUUAUGAUAAUAAUAAUCCCCUUGUUAUAAGUUCAUCUGGUAUCUAUGUUUGGUCCUUUGCAAUCGUGGUUCUGACCAUGAUUGUUCCCCUUUGAUUCCAUUUCUCGGACUAGUUAAAGUACUUGUCUUCUGCAGAUGACUACACAUGUCCAAACUCUAUUAUGCCCUAUCUUUGAGUAUUACCCUCUAGUAUCUCGAGGAUAUCAUGCAUUGCACUACAUCUAAUGAACUUUUGAUGAAGUACUACCUUACCCUGUCUUAGUCACUUCAUGGGUUCUGGGUUGUCUUCAACCGAGACCACCAAACAAUGAAUCUAUUCUGCUCAGUGAUUCAGCACUCCUAGUACUUUGUUGCUGGGGAGUUGGAUACUCCAUCACAUCAUUCCUAGCCUGAUCGGCUAUAUUUUUAUCGUGUCAACUUUUAACUAUGCUACCUGGUCCUUAUGCCCGGAGCAACUUUCGACGAUGAGCUAAGCUUACAUUGAUCUUUCUCGUCAUAUCAUUUCACCUUGAACAGAAAGUUUGAUUUCGACUUUGUGUCGUACUCAUGGUUCCAAUAGCCUUUCGCUUCGUCCUUCCUGUUACUUGAUGGCAUCUUCAUAGAGCCUCUCGACAAAGGCGUCUUGAUCAGCAUCAACAUUUUGACUUCUGUUGAAAUGGCAAUUGAAUUCAUGGUUAGAAAUACCAUCCUUGACCUUCAAUGAUUUGAGUUAUCAUUGACAACCCCCCUUGUCUUCUUUCCAACACAUGUUUGGUCAUGUAUUGGUUAUACCUUGGACUACUUGUUAUUCCUGCAAUUGUUCUUUGAGUAUUUCUUGUGAUCUUCAACUCCAAUCCCUACUUGGAACACCAUGUUAAUGCUACCUCUAAGCAUGGCUGUGGUAUUCCGAAUAUCAACAAGAACAUUGGAAGCACAUUGUCGAAUGUUUCUUGAUCUAUUAUCCAAACACCGUUGUAUGUGUAAUAUCAUGAUUCUUCCCUCACCCCCUUUAUCUAAAUGCUUUUGAACUUGCUGUCUUAUCAUGGAUAUCAUACUCUGCUUGUCCUUGGGAAGGAUAUAUUCCUGAUAAUAGUGUUUAAACACACUUUCCUUUCCAAUGUUCUGAUUAAUCUAAUGAUCACCUUUUCUUUCCAUUGUUUUGUUUAACCUUUCUUGUGGUUUGUGAGAUCUAAGCAGUAAUAGUUCCCUACUUAUGGAAACACCUCGGUGUACAACUCUGUCAGUAAGACCCUGCUACUAUUGUUGAUGAUGUUCCGAACCACCAACGGACGAGAACUUUGCCUAUUGGUCCACCUCGUCUUACGAGCAGGAAAAUAGUUCUCUUCGUCCCUCGCCCUUGGUACCAACGUUGUUGGCAACAUAACUGACAGUCUAUCAUCUGACAUGCCUUGCUAUGACCCCCCUUUCUACUUUUAACCCACAUGGUGGGCCCAUAACCCACAGGUCCUAGGAUCAGAACCUUACUCUCCUGUAUAUCUUUGAUUCCAAAAUAUUCUUGCAUUUGGAUUCGUAUCAUGUCACGAGCCACCUUUCGAGAGAUGGUCUAUUCCGAUGCUCUGAACCCCUUUGUCACACUUUGGUCAGGUAUCAAUCGUUUGCCCAUUUGUUUGAAACUUCCUAUUGUACCUUCAUACUUUGCUCUCGAUGUUUUAUUAAGUUUCAACUCGAGAGAUACUUCUGCCUCAUUUCCCGAAUUGUUCACCAGAUAAUUAACCCUAUAAGGUUCAGUUCUCCCGAAGUUACUCUUUACUUCCCCACUUAAAUCUCGGGACGAGAUUUCUUGUAGUGGAGGAGAUUUGUAACACCCCAGUGUCAUGUUACAGUAAUCCCCAGUUAAUGGUGCCAUGUCAUCAUGUUACUGUUGCUAAUCUUCAGUUGAUCCAAAUCAUGAUUCAAAUUCAAUUCCAAUCUAAAGUCAAAAAUUCAUAUUUGUCAGAUAUGAAAUCUAAAAUGUUCAUCUUGUGCCAAAUAAUCCCGUAACUAAUAUUGGUAGUGAAACAACAUUUUUACAAAGUGUUUGAGUGCAUUAAACUAGCUAAAAUAGUGCUUAAAACAUUUGUUUAAAUGCUUUUUAAAUAGUAAACAAAUAUAAACAUAUUUUAUUAAAGGGGCAAGUCAUUUGUGGUAGUUAAUUUAAUAAUACUAAUUUAGGGGCUAGUGUUGUAUUUUACAAAAAUAAUGAAAUAAAAAAAUAGGGAAAAUACAAACUUUAGAAAAAAGCCCACAACCACCUGCCCCUGGACGUAGGCCACCCAACCGAACCCCUCCCUUUGUCGUCUACCCCGCUACAGGAAGACGACCGAGACGACCCGAGCCGAGUCCUAGCCGGAUCGCCUCGCCGGCAAACUCCCCCCGGUGGAUAAGAUCGCCACGGCCCUCGCCUCCUCGAUCCCCUCUCCCACUCGGCCCCCACUCAUUUGCUCUCUCUCCCCUCAUCUAACCACCGCUCCCCUCCUCCAGAUCCGCCCGCUGCUGACCAUGCUACUGCGAUGGCCGUCAUCACCUCUGCUCGUGCGCGUGGACACCGUCCUUGAGUCGCCUCCGCAGCGUGUCCAGGAGGUUUUCCAUCGUCUGCCUCAUCGUCUUCACCAACUGGAUCCAGCAGGGAGCCACCACAACAUCGACAUCGACCUCGUCUUCAUCUUCGGCCACCGGAGCUCCGCCGCGUCAAUCCACUGCACUGCCGCUCCUAAGCUAUCGCCGGGCCGCCGUGUGCCUUCGCGGUGAGCUCAUCAUCCGAUUCCCCUAUUUCUUCCUUUGUUUUAGUCGUCGUAGGCCGUUGUUCCAUCGCCAUGGCCGGAGCUCGUGGACGCCAUACGUGCCCAGCCGCCGUUGGCUGCGCCCUGGGCCACACACACACGCGCUCCCGUUCUCCACGCCCACGCCUUCUGACUCCCGUCGCUGCUUUCCCCGCCAGCCCCCUGCCGCGCUCCUUGCCCGUUGCUGCCAUUGCUCUAUUGUUCUCUCGCUGCUGCUCUUGCAUACUGCUGCUUCUCUGCCUACUGUGCUGCUGCGUGCUGCUCUAAGCUGCCACUGCUUCUUCAUGACGUGUUGCCGCUGCUACUAAUUACUACUGCCGCUGCCGUGCGCUGCUUGCUGCUGCUGGUGGCCAUGGCCAUGGCCAUGGCUAGCAUGUGUGUGCGUGUGCUGUGUGUGUUGAGUGCGUACGUGUUGUGUGUGCGUGCUCUCUGUGUGUGUGUGUGCAGCGUGUGUGUGCGCGUUGUGCAUGCGUGUAGUGUGUGCGUACAGUGCGUAUGUGCGCUGAGUGUGUGGCCGCGCCCACCUCCGGCCUCGCCCGCCUUUGGCUGGCCUUGCCGUGCCGCCGCUGCCACCCCCUGUUGCUGCUCUGCCUGCUGCACUGGGCUGCUGCUCCGCUGCUACAGUAACGUUCAGUUACUGUAGCAGUAGCCACCUUUGCAACUUUAACACUAACGAGCCCUCUUGACAGCCCCUAAACAACAACUAAACAAAAGUUAACAUGAGUAAAAUUUAUAUGGGCUUGUAGUACACUUGACAGGGUUCAAUACUUUCCAUUGGACCAAAUCCAAAAGUCACCUAGAUUAAUUCCUAUGAAAAUGACAAAAGUCUAUGUUCAGUUAACAGAAAAGACUGAAAAUAGAGUUAUUAUGUUAGCUACUUUAGAUAAGAAAAUAAACAGGAUACAAGGUUCUAACAGAGAUGUAGGACCUUGAGAAGAGGUGUCUAGAGGGGGGGGGGGUGAUUAGACACUAAGUACCAAAGUUGCAGUUUUUAGCCCUUUUAAAGUUUAAGUGGAGUUUAGGCACAAAUUUAACAUUCACAACACAUAGCAAGCAAGCAUGCAAAGAGUAUAUGAGCAGCGGAAAGCAAAGCAUGCAACUUGCAAGAAAGUAAAGGGAAGGGUUUGGAGGAUUCAAACGCAAUUGGAGACACAGAUAUUUUUGGCGUGGUUCCCAUAGGUGGUGCUAUCGAACAUCCACGUUGAUGGAGACUUCAACCCACGAAGGGUAACGGUUGCGCGAGUCCACGGAGGGCUCCACCCAAGAAGGGUCCACGAAGAAGCAACCUUGUCUAUCCCAUCAUGGCCGUCGCCCACGAAGGACUUGCCUCACUAGCGGUAGAUCUUCACGAAGUAGGCGAUCUCCUUGCCCUUACAAACUCCUUGGUUCAACUCCACAAUCUUGUCGGAGGCUCCCAAGUGACACCUAGCCAAUCUAGGAGACACCACUCUCCAAGAAGUAACAAAUGGUGCGUUGAUGAUGAACUCCUUGCUCUUGUGCUUCAAAUGAUAGUCUCCCCAACACUCAACUCUCUUUCAUAGGAUUUGGAUCUGGUGGAAAGAGGGUUUGAGUGGAAAGCAACUUGGGAAAGGCUAGAGAUCAAGAUUCAUAUGGUAGGAAUGGAAUAUCUUGGCCUCAACACAUGAGUAGGUAGUUCUCUCUCAGAAAUAGGAUGCUGGAAGUGUAGGUUCAGUCUGAUGGCUCUCUCCACGAAUGAAGAGGAGGUGAAGGGGUAUAUAUAGCCUCCACACAAAGUCUAACCGUUACACACAACUUGCCAAACUCGAUGGGACCGAAUUGAGAAACUCGGUCAGACCGAUUUAGCAAAUCUAGUGACCGUUAGGAUUUUUGGUGGGACCGAAAUGCAACUCGGUAGGACCGAUUCGAUUAGGGUUAGGGCAUAACGUAAUCUCGGUGAGACCGAUUUUGGUAAUUAGCUAACCAGAGAGUUGGUCAGGCAAACUCGGUUGGACCGAUUAUCAAACUCGGUGGGACCGAUUUUGGUAAUGAGUCAACCAGGAAGUUUGCAUUGUAAUCUCGGUAGUACCGAUUGCUCAAACUCGGUGAGACCGAUUUGCUUAGGGUUUGUGGCAGUGGCUAAUACAUCCAAACUCGGUGGCGCCGGAUAGGAAGAAUCAGUGGGGCCGAGUUUGACUUUAGGUUUAGGACAUAUGUGUGGAAGUGGGAAAGUAGUUGAGGGAAUUUGGAGCAUAUCACUAAGCACUUGAAGCAAGAGGCUCAUUAAGCAACAGCUCAUCCCUCCUUGAUACUAUUGGCUUUUCCUAUAGACUCAAUGUGAUCUUGGAUCACUAAAAUGUAAAAUGAAGAGUCUUGAGCUUGAAGCUUGAGCCAAUCGUUUGUCCUUAGCAUCUUGAAGGAGUUCCCACAUCCUUUAGUCCAUGCCACUCUAAUGAUGAACUUAUCUGAAAUAUACUAGAUAAAAGUGUUAGUCCAACAAGCGAUAUGUUUACAUUAAUUACCAAAACCACCUAGGGAGCACUUGUGCUUUCAAUCUCCCCCUUUUUGGUAACUGAUGACAACAUACAUCAAAGCUUUAGAUAAAGAUUAAAGAACAACAAGUAAGGCUUUGGAAAGACAUGUAACAAGCAUAGGCUCCCCCUACAUGUAUGCAAUCAUGUGAAUAUGAAAUAUAGAAGCAUGUGAGAGCAUAACCAUGAUAGAGCAGGCAAUGUGUUACAUGUAUCUUGGCCAUAUGCAUCAGAGCAAAAAAUAUAUUAAAGGAAAUACCUUCAUGCCCAUGAGUCCUUCUUGCAAACAGUAUGUACAUCAGCAAGAAUUCCUCAUACACAUGAUUGUGAUGCAUGUACUUACCUCGUAGUCUUGAGUUGGCUUAGAAUGAAAUGAACCUGUGUAAACAAGGUUAGAUAACACAGAUACAUCUACUAGCCAGAGCAAACAGAAGAAACCACAAGAAUACCAAGACUGGGAUGCCAUGUAGAGAGUGAGUACUAAGUACUACAUUGGAAUUGACAUGUCCCCAAGAGUAAAGGUAUGCAAAGAAUUCAGAUGAUUUCUUUCCCUUAGAUGUCUUGCUCCCCCUGAAUCUAGCAUGGGAUACUGGGAGAAGAUAGGGAACAGAAAAUCAGAGCUGAAAGAUAUAAAUGAACAGAGCUAAUGCAAACUAAUGCAAAAAAGGGCACAUAUGAACAUGUCUUUCCCCUCAAGAAGACAUAUGGCAUCUCUCCUCUUGAACACCAAGCAUCUGGGAUCCUUGAGAAAUACUUUCUACUAGUAUUCUCUCCCCCUGGAGAUCUCUCUCUCUCUGAAGGAUCUCUCUCCCCCUAUGAGAUGUAAUCUCUCUCUCUAAAUGAUAAGCUUUGAUGUGAUCUCUCUCCCCCUUUGACAUCAAUUUCCAAGACGGGCUUGAUAAAGAUGUAAUCUGUCUCUCUUCCUUUGGAAUUUGUCGUGAAUGGGUUUGAUCCUUGAGUCACAACAUAAAGUAAUGAUAAAAAUGUGAUGCUUGUUAGAGGACAAGAUUCAUUGAGUGGAGCUGGAUCAGAAGAAACAUAGAAUAAGUGGCAAACUGUUUUUCCUGUGAUGAAGUCGGUGGCACCGAGUUGUAUGCUUUGGUUGUACCAAAAGAAUUCAGUUGGACCGAAAAUAACAAAUCAGUGGAACCGAGUUCAUCGCAGAGAAAACACUUGUCACCUCAGCUCACUAGACUAAUAAGAUCUCACAAAGAUUUGCAAGGAAUUGGAUGCAGAAAAUGCAGAGCAAACAGAAAGAAAUCUAGAUGAAGUUUUUUUUGAAAGGGGAAACGAAUAUGAAUGAGACAAAUGCAAAAACACAGAAUAAAACACAAGGGAACUUCAUCAAGAGAUGGUCGGCGACGAAGUCACCUAUGUUAGAGUAUAUUGACUUAGGAGUCAAGUGAGAUCACUUGAUCAUAGGUCAUACUCAUUGUUUAAGCUCAAAAUGGGGUUGCCAUUUUUCGUUUAAGCAGCUUGAUGUAUUCACAUCUUGUCGAGUUGCUUUAGCUCAUGUCUUGGAGUAAAGCUUCUCUAAGAUGGAAUAACAUACCUUGGUUGGUGGUGAUGAUCAUGUAGUUGAACUCGUGUGGGUCGCUCAAGGUUGAUGUAGCUGAUCAAGAGUUGGGAGCACCACUUGGAAUUUGAGUCCAUCUACCUACAUGGGUUAGUUCUUGCAAAGAAGAGCACUUGUGUAUCCAAAAAUGACAAUCAUGAAGCUCAAUAUAGAAUUUGUCAAAGGAUAUGCUCGAAUGGUUUCGUGCUUCCUUGUCUUCAACCACCUUGUGUAGAGACUUGGUGAUGUAGAGAUUGCUCAAGAUAUGAGUAGGUUACAGCCUCAUGGAAUUAGAUUCAACCAAGUACCUACAUGGGUUAGAUAACAUGCAAGAUACAAAUAUAUCCAAGACAUAAGAUUUUCAUCAUAAGAGAAAUAUCAAGGAUUAGUCAUAAGUUGAUGUCUUGCAUGCAUCCAAUGGAGUUUCUACUCCAAGUUUGAAGCAUCAAUGAUGUUCAAUUCUCCUCUCAACUUGCAAAACACUUUCUCAUCAAGAGGUUUGGUGAAUAUAUCCGCUAAUUGCUUUGCGGUGCGAACAUGCUUAAGAUCAAUGUCACCCUUAGCAACGUGAUCUCAAAUGAAAUGAUGACGAACUUCAAUAUGCUUAGUUCGAGAAUGUUGCACAUGAUUAUGACCAAUUUUGAUAGCACUUUCAUUGUCACAAAGCAAUGGAACAUGUUUCACAUAAAUCCCAUAAUCUUUAAGAGUUUGGGUCAUCCAAAGUAAUUGAGCACAACAUGAACCAGUGGCAAUGUAUUCCGCUUCAGCAGUGGAUAAGGAUACUGAGUUUUGUUUCUUGGAAGACCAAGACACAAGAGAUCUACCAAGAAAUUGACAAGUACCCGAAGUGGACUUUCUAUCAACCUUGUCUCCGGCAUAGUCCGAGUCAGAGUAGCCGACAAGAUCGAAAGAGGCCCUCUUAGGAUACCAAAUGCCAAAAUUUGGUGUAUGUAUUAAGUAUCUCACUAUCCUUUUUAUGGCCUUAAGAUGACACUCUUUAGGAGCAUCUUGAUAUCGUGCACACAUGCACACACUUAGCAUAAUAUCGGGACGUGAAGCACAUAGGUAUAACAAUGAACCAAUCAUAGAGCGAUAAACCUUUUGAUCAACCAGUUCAUCAUCUUUGGUUAAGUCAAGAUGUCCACUAGUAGGCAUGGGUGUAGCCAUUCCUUUGCAUUCUUGCAUAUUGAACUUCUUGAAUAAGUCCUUAGUUUACUUCGUUUGAGAGACAAAAGUACCUUCCUUAGUUUGCUUGAUUUGCAACCCAAGAAAGAAUUUGAGUUCACUCAUCAUUGACAUCUCAAACAUCUCCGACAUUAGCUUCCCAAACUUUUCACUAAAAUGAGGGUUAGUUGAACCAAAUAUAAUAUCAUCAACGUAGAUUUGGCACACAAAUAGUUCACCAUUAACCCUUUUAGUAAAGAGAGUAGAAUCAAUUUUCCCAAUUUCAAAGCCUUUUUCAAUAAGGAACUUGGUCAAGCAUUUAUACCAUGCUCUAGGAGCUUGUUUAAGACCAUAAAGAGCUUUGUGAAGUUUGUAAACAUGAUUUGGUUUCUUAGGAUUGACAAAGCCGGGAGGUUGUUUAACAUAAACUUCCUCCUCUAUUUCACCAUUUAGAAAAGCACUUUUAAUGUCCAUUUGGUACAAGGUGAUAUCAUGGUGAUUAGCAUAGGCAAGUAAGAUGCGAAUGGACUCAAGUCUAGCAACGGGGGCGUAAGUCUCACCAUAGUCCAUACCUUCGACUUGUGUGUAGCCUUGGGCGACGAGACGUGCUUUGUUGCAAACUACUUGUCCAUCUUCAUCUUGCUUGUUGCGAAACACCCAUUUGGUACCGAUGAUGUUGUGGUUGUUGUCGGGCUUCUCAACCAAUGUCCAAACUUGGUUCCUCUCAAAGUUGUGUAGCUCUUCAUGCAUAGUGUUUAUCCAAUCCGGAUCUUCCAAUGCUUCUUCGACCUUCAUAGGUUCAAUGCUAGAGAUGAAAGAAUAGUUUUCACAAAGGUUAGCUAAACGAGUUUUAGAGCGAGUGAUUCUCCCAGUUUGAAUAUCAUUGUAGAUUUGCGCGACGGGAUGGUCUUUAGCAAUUCUUUCUCGAACUCGUGAAAGCUUUUGCUUGGAUCUUCGUUGAACAUCUUCUUCAUCUUGUUCUUCUUCUUGGCCUUCUUCAUUGUUGGCAUUGUCGUUCUCUUGUCGUGGUGGAGAAGGAGGUUGUUGACGUUCAUCUUGACGCACUUCCUCGUUUCCUUCAUCUUGGUGUGUCCCACUUGUGGAUGCUUCCGUAUCAACUCUUGGUUCACCUUGUCGUGAAGUAGAAGCUUCCACUUGGACAGACGAGGUACUCUCCUUCACCUCCAUUGGAUGGACCUUGCCAAUAGACAAGUCUUGGAUUGCUUCCGAAGGAUCUUUGUCUCCUACAUCAAUUGGCAAUUGCUCUACUUGCGAGCCGCUAGAUUCAUCAAACUUCACAUCUACCGUCUCUUCAACCUUUCGGGUGAAAUUGUUGUAGACACGGUAAGUGUCAGAGUUUGAGCCAUAACCUAGUAGGAAACCUUCAUGAGACUUAGGAGCAAAUUUAGAACGAUGAUGCUUAUCAAGAAUGUAGCACUUUGAGCCGAAUACUCGAAAGUAUCCAACUUGGGGUUUGUUACCGGUGAGGAGCUCGUAUGCCGUCUUGCCGAGUAGCUUGUGAAGAUUCAAGCGAUUUGUUGCAUGACAAGCUGUCUCAACCGCUUCUGCCCAAAAGUGCUUCGGCGUCUUGUACUCAUCAAGCAUCGUUCUCGCCAUUUCGAUGAGCGUCCAGUUCUUCCUCUGAACAACUCCAUUUUGUUGAGGUGUGUACGUAGCUGAGAACUCAUGUGAAAUCCCUUCUUCGUCAAGAAAGGUGUCCACAUUUGCGUUCUUGAACUCCGUUCCAUUGUCGCUGCGAACCUUCUUGAUCUUCACUUAAAAUUGAUUUUGGGCCUUCCUAGCGAAGUUUUUGAAGAUCUUUUGAACCUGCAAUUUAUCAUCAAGAAAGAACACCCACGCAAAUCUGGAAAAAUCAUCAACUAUAACUAGACCAAAACAAUUUCCACCGAGACUCUUGUAAGAGUUGGGACCAAAGAGAUCCAUGUGAAGUAGCUCGAGUGGCCGCUUUGUGGUCAUGAUGUUCUUCACGGGAUGCCUUCCUCCAACCUGUUUACCUGCUUGACAAGCACUGCAAAGUCUAUCCUUAUCAAAAAUGACAUCAUUAACUCCAAGGAUAUGAUUUCCCUUAAUAAGCUUGUCAAGGUUUCUCAUGCCAACGUGACCUAGUCGUCUAUGCCAUAACCAACCUUUUGAGGAUUUAACAAUGAAGCAAGUUUUAGGUUGGACCUUUUUAGUGAAAUCAACAAUGUAUAGAUCACCUCUACGUAUGCUGGUAAAGACCAUUUUAUGAUUGUCUCGACGAAACACUUGGCAAUCAACUUAAGUAAAUAGGACAUUGAAACCGAAAUAAGCAAGUCUAGAUACUGAAAGUAAGUUGUAUCCAAGAGAUUCUACGAGCAUGACAUUUUGUAUGGAGCUAUCAUGUGAGAUGGCCACCUUACCGAGGCCAACCACCUUACCCUUUGAGUUGUCACCGAAAGUGACAUACUUUCGAGGACUAUCAUUAUCAGCAAGCUCACGAAACAUGUCUUUAUCUCCGGUCAUGUGAUCGGUACUCCCACUAUCAAGAACCCAUUCCUUUCCUCCUGACAUAUAUCCCAGAAGAUUUGCCAUAAGACCAAAAUGUCUCAUUGCAUCAUCAAGAUCUAAGUCACUAUCCUCAUCCUCAUCAUAGUAUCCAUGUUCAACAUCGUCAUGUGGUGGAUCAAAUCCUAGAGAGGGUGAUUCAUUAGAGUGAGUUUGACAAUGAUCUUGUCUAUGAAUUUUUAUAGCUUCGGAAAUAAUAUCACUAAUAAUACCAACAUUUCCUUUGGCACGCAUAAGAUUUGUAAGCUCAAAUAGACGAUCACCAAACAUAGGAUCACUAGUAUUCAUCUUACUCAAGGCAAUAGACUUAUGAAGAAUUUCAUCAAGAUUUUUCAAAGAAUAAUCAGGAAAUCGUUCCUCAAGAAAUUUCCAUAUAGUGUAGGCACACUCAAGAGUAGGCAGUUUUAUAAUCAAGUUUCUAGGCAAGCCUCUAGUGAUAAGAUUAACAGUUUUAACAUUCCUAAUCAUGUCAAUAGACUCAUCAAGCGUAGGAUGCAUAGGAUCAACACAAGGUGCACAAGGACUAGCAAUGUACUUGUUCAAAUGAUAUUGAUUGAAAACUACAAGCAUCUCAUUUUUCCACUCAUGAAAAUACUCUCCAUCAAGAAUAUGCACUUUAUGUCUAAGAUUCCCCAAAGUAGACUCAUCCAUCUUCCUCCAAUGGUGAUUAAACCAAGGAAAUGGAAACCAAUGCUCUGAUACCACUUGUAGGACCUUGAGAAGAGGUGUCUAGAGGGGGGUGAUUAGACACUAAGUACCAAAGUUGCAGUUUUUAGCCCUUUUAAAGUUUAAGUGGAGUUUAGGCACAAAUUUAAUAUUCACAACACAUAGCAAGCAAGCAUGCAGAGAGUAUAUGAGCAGCGGAAAGUAAAGCAUGCAACUUGCAAGAAAGUAAAGGGAAUGGUUUGGAGGAUUCAAACACAAUUGGAGACACAGAUGUUUUUGGCGUGGUUCCGAUAGGUGGUGCUAUCGUACAUCCACGUUGAUGGAGACUUCAACCCACGAAGGGUAACCAUUGCGCGAGUCCACGGAGGGCUCCACCCAAGAAGGGUCCACGAAGAAGCAACCUUGUCUAUCCCACCAUGGCCGUCGCCCACGAAGGACUUCCUCACUAGCGGUAGAUCUUCACGAAGUAGGCGAUCUCCUUGCCCUUACAAACUCCUUGGUUAAACUCCACAAUCUUGUCGGAGGCUCCCAAGUGACACCUAGCCAAUCUAGGAGACACCACUCUCCAAGAAGUAACAAAUGGUGCGUUGAUGAUGAACUCCUUGCUCUUGUGCUUCAAAUGAUAGUCUCCCCAACACUCAACUCUCUCUCAUAGGAUUUGGAUCUGGUGGAAAGAUGGUUUGAGUGGAAAGCAACUUGGGAAAGGCUAGAGAUCAAGAUUCAUAUGGUAGGAAUGGAAUAUCUUGGCCUCAACACUUGAGUAGGUAGUUCUCUCUUAGAAAUAGGAUGUUGGAAGUGUAGGUUCAGUCUGAUGGCUCUCUCCACGAAUGAAGAGGAGGUGGAGGGGUAUAUAUAGCCUCAACACAAAAUCUAACCGUUACACACAACUUGCCAAACUCGGUGGGACCGAAUUGAGAAACUCGGUCGGACCGAUUUAGCAAAUCUAGUGACCGUUAGGAUUUUCGGUGGGACCGAAAUGCAACUCGGUAGGACCGAUUCGAUUAGGGUUAGGGCAUAACGUAAUCUCGGUGAGACCGAUUACACAAACUCGGUGAGACCGAUUUUGGUAAUUAGCUAACCAGAGAGUUGGUCAGGCAAACUUGGUUGGACCGAUUAUCAAACUCGGUGGGACCGAUUUUGGUAAUGAGUCAACCAGGAAGUUUGCAUUGUAAUCUCGGUAGUACCGAUUGCUCAAACUCGGUGAGACCGAUUUGCUUAGGGUUUGUGCCAGUGGCUAAGACAUCCAAACUCGGUGGCACCGGAUACGAAGAAUCAGUGGGGCCAAGUUUGACUUUAGGUUUAGGACAUAUGUGUGGAAGUGGGAAAGUAGUUGAGGGAAUUUGGAGCAUAUCACUAAGCACUUGAAGCAAGAGGCUCAUUAAGCAACACCUCAUCCCUCCUUGAUAGUAUUGGCUUUUCCUAUAGACUCAAUGUGAUCUUGGAUCACUAAAAUGUAAAAUGAAGAGUCUUGAGCUUGAAGCUUGAGCCAAUCGUUUGUCCUUAGCAUCUUGAAGGAGUUCCCACAUCCUUUAGUCCAUGCCACUCCAAUGUUGAACUUAUCUGAAAUAUACUAGAUAAAAGUGUUAGUCCAACAAGAGAUAUGUUGACAUUAAUUACCAAAACCACCUAGGGAGCACUUGUGCUUUCAAGAGAUGCAAUUAACACCAUCCUGUAGAUCACAGAAAAUUGGUCAAGAUUGGUAUUAGGUACCAAUUCAUAAGAUGGGCAGAACACUAGUUAUAGACUCUAGAAAACAGCCAAGUGAGGUUUAAAGACUGAACUAUUCUCAAACUUAGCCAAUUUUCAGGAUUUCCAAAUAACUAUUUAAAUCUUCGGAAAUUCGUAGAAAAUAAACUAUAGCUCGGAUCGAAAAACUUUCUACAUGAAAGUUGAUCAGAAAAACAAGACGAAUCCGACCGUGCCAUCUGUUUCCUGCCGGGACCCUCUAUGGAGGUGUGACGCCCGGAUAAUCAUGCUACAGUAACCUCACGUUAAUGGUGACACGUCACCUCUGUCAGUUUAGUUAAUCUCGGGUUACUUCAAAACCGUUUCAAAUUCAAAAUUAAAUUAAAGGCAAAUAAUAAAAGUUUUCAAACAACGAAACCAAAAUGUUCAAGGUGGGUCGGAUAAAUCAUGUGUAAAUACGAUGGAGAAACCAAACCUUGAUAAAAUGUUUAAGGGCUCUAAACUAAUUAAAACAGUAGUGAAAACAAUUAAACAAAUACCUAUUGGAUUUUAUAAAAUAUUAAAAUAUUUUAUUAUGGGUUGAGAAUUGAUGUGACAGCAGUUUGUUUAUAAAUACUACUUUAGAUACUAGUGGCGAUUUCUGUAAAAACUAAAGAUUAAAAGAAACUAGACAUAAGAUAGAAAAGAAAAUAAAUAAAAAGAAAAGGUCUAAACAAAAACAAAACAACAAAGAAAGAAAAGGAAGNNNNNNNNNNNNNNNNNNNNNNNNNNNNNNNNNNNNNNNNNNNNNNNNNNNNNNNNNNNNNNNNNNNNNNNNNNNNNNNNNNNNNNNNNNNNNNNNNNNNNNNNNNNNNNNNNNNNNNNNNNNNNNNNNNNNNNNNNNNNNNNNNNNNNNNNNNNNNNNNNNNNNNNNNNNNNNNNNNNNNNNNNNNNNNNNNNNNNNNNNNNNNNNNNNNNNNNNNNNNNNNNNNNNNNNNNNNNNNNNNNNNNNNNNNNNNNNNNNNNNNNNNNNNNNNNNNNNNNNNNNNNNNNNNNNNNNNNNNNNNNNNNNNNNNNNNNNNNNNNNNNNNNNNNNNNNNNNNNNNNNNNNNNNNNNNNNNNNNNNNNNNNNNNNNNNNNNNNNNNNNNNNNNNNNNNNNNNNNNNNNNNNNNNNNNNNNNNNNNNNNNNNNNNNNNNNNNNNNNNNNNNNNNNNNNNNNNNNNNNNNNNNNNNNNNNNNNNNNNNNNNNNNNNNNNNNNNNNNNNNNNNNNNNNNNNNNNNNNNNNNNNNNNNNNNNNNNNNNNNNNNNNNNNNNNNNNNNNNNNNNNNNNNNNNNNNNNNNNNNNNNNNNNNNNNNNNNNNNNNNNNNNNNNNNNNNNNNNNNNNNNNNNNNNNNNNNNNNNNNNNNNNNNNNNNNNNNNNNNNNNNNNNNNNNNNNNNNNNNNNNNNNNNNNNNNNNNNNNNNNNNNNNNNNNNNNNNNNNNNNNNNNNCUCGCCGCACCGCUCGUGCGUGCCCUCGCGCAUGCGCGCCCGAGCCCCGCCUCGCUCUGCCGAGGCGCUGCUCGCUCGCGUUGCGCCGCCCGCGCGUCGCCCUACUCCCAUCCCCCCCUCCGAGCCGCACUGCUGGUGCUGCUCGCCAUGGCCUCUCCCGCUGCCGCAGGCCGCCCGGUUACCGCUGCUGUGCCGCUCCCCACGCCAGGACCGCGCCUUCCCUGGCCGAGGCCGUGGCCACCGGCCUCCCCCUGCUCCGGCGCUGCGCCGGAUCUGCCCGCCCAUGGGCGUGUGCCCAUUCGGGUGGCGCCCGUCGCCUACACGCCCGACCCGAUAGGCCUAUGGGCCUUUGACAAGGGGCCCCACCGCCCCAGAACAUUUUGUUAAAAAAAAGAAAGGAAUUAAAAAUAAUAUAUAAAAUAAAUAAAAUAAAUGAAUAGAUAAUAAUAAUUUAAUUAAUUAAUUAAUUAAGGAAUUAAUUAAGUUAAUUAAUCAUAAUUACAUUAACCUAACUAACUAAUUAGUUUAAUUAAACAAUAGUUAGAUUAGUUAAACACUAAUUAGACUAAACAGUCAAUGACUAGUGGGACCCACACGUCAGUUGACCAGUCAACACCUCUGUUGACUGCUGAUGUCAUGCUGACGUCAUGCUGACGUCAGCAAAUACUGUUUUGGAUAAUGUUGAAUUUAAAUAAAUAAUUAAAAUCAGAAAAUGAUUAAAUCUUUAGAAAAUCAUAUCUUUUAAUCCGUAACUCGGAUGAAAAUACUUUCUACAUGAAAGUUGAUCAGAACAACGAGACGAAUCCGGAUACGCGGUCCGUUAGUCCGCCACACACACCUAACCUAUCGAACCCGCAACUUUUCCCCUCCGGUUCCUCUGCCCGAAAACACGAAACACCGGGAAUACUUUCCCGGGGGUUUCCCCCCCUUCACCGGUAUCACCUACUACCGCGUUAGGGCACACCUUACACCGCGUAUUGCCUUGAUAUAUUUUGUGGUGCUUUGUUUGCCCUGUAUUCAUUAUUUCUUCCCCCUCUUCUCUCCGGUAGACUACGAGACCGACGCUGCUGCUGACCAGUUCGACUACGGAGUUGACGACCCCUCUCUCUUGCCAGAGCAACCAGGCAAGCCCCCCCUUUGAUCACCAGAUAUCGCCUACUCUUCUCUAUACUGCUUGCAUUAGAGUAGUGUAGCAUGUUACUGCUUUCCGUUAAUCCUAUUCUGAUGCAUAGCCUGUCAUUGCUGCUACAGUCAUUGAUACCUUACCCGCAAUCCUAAAUGCUUAGUAUAGGAUGCUAGUGUUCCAUCAGUGACCCUACACUCUUGUCCGUCUGCCAUGCUAUACUACUGGGCUGUGAUCACUUCGGGAGGUGAUCACGGGCAUAUACUAUAUACUUUACACUGUUACAUUACUGGUGAUACUGUUUGGAGAUGGGGGCUGAAGGGGCAGGUGGCUCCAUCCAGGUAGUGGUGGGCCUGAGUUCCCAACGGCCCCCGACUGUUACUUUGUGGCGGAGCGACAGGGCAGGUUGAGACCACCUAGGAGACAGGUGGGCCUGGCCUUGUUCGGCAUUCGCGGAUACUUAACACGCUUAACGAGAUCUUGGUAUUUGAUCUGAGUCUGGCUACGAGCCUAUACGCACUAACCAUCUACGUGGGAGUAGUUAUGGGUAUCCCGACGUCGUGGUAUCAGCCGAAGCACUUCAGACGUCAGUGACGGAGCGGCGCGCGCCGAAUUGGACUGGAACGCCACUAGGCUAGGUCUUCUUUCGGCCGCGUAUGCAACGUGCAGGUGUGCUAUGGGCGAUGGGCCCAGACCCCUGUGCGCUUAGGUUUAGACCGGCGUGCUGGUCUCUCUAUUUUGCCUAGGUGGGGCUGCGACGUGUUGAUCUUUCGCGGCCGGGCAUGACCCAGGAAAGUGUGUCUGGCCAAAUGGGAUCAAGCGUGUUGGGUUAUGUGGUGCACCUCUGCAGGGAAGUUAAUCUAUUCGAAUAGCCGUGAUCUUCGGUAACAGGACGACUUGGAGUUGUACCUUGACCUUAUGACAACUAGAACCGGAUACUUAAUAAAACACAACCUUCCAAGUUCCACAGACAACCCGGUGAUCGCUUUUCUACAGGGCGACGAGGAGAGGAUCGCCGGGUAGGAUUAUGCUAUGCGAUGCUACUGGAGUUGCUAUUUGGAGAUGCUACUUGGAGGACUUCAAUCUACUCUCUUCUACAUGCUGCAAGACGGAGGCUGCCAGAAGCGUAGUCUUCGACAGGAUUAGCUAUCCCCCUCUUAUUCUGGCAUUCUGCAGUUCAGUCCACUGUUAUGGCCUCCUUACACAUAUACCCAUGCAUAUGUAGUGUAGCUCCUUGCUUGCGAGUACUUUGGAUGAGUACUCACGGUUGCUUUUCUCCCUCUUUUCCCCCUUUCCCUUCUACCUGGUUGUCGCAACCAGAUGCUGGAGUCCAGGAGCCAUACGCCACCGUCGACGACGACCCCUACUGCACCGGAGGUGCCUACUACUACGUGCUGCCCGCUGAUGACGACCUGGAGUAGUUUAGGAGGAUCCCAGGCAGGAGGCCUGCGCCUCUUUCGAUCUGUAUCCCAGUUUGUGCUAGCCUUCUUAAGGCAAACUUGUUUAACUUAUGUCUGUACUUAGAUAUUGUUGCUUCCGCUGACUCGUCUAUGAUCGAGCACUUGUAUUCGAGCCCUCGAGGCCCCUGGCUUGUAUUAUGAUGCUUGUAUGACUUGUUUUAUUUGUAGAGUUGUGUUGUGAUAUCUUCCCGUGAGUCCCUGAUCUUGAUCGUACACAUUUGCGUGCAUGAUUAGUGUACGAUUGAAUCGGGGGCGUCACAAGUUGGUAUCAGAGCCGACUGCCUGUAGGAAUCCCCCUUUCACACUCCUUGGCCGAAGUCGAGUCUAGUCAUUGCAAAACUUUUACUAACAUGGCUGUGUGCCUUACGGGCCCACAUCGCCAUUGGGUGGUAUUAGGAUCUUUUAUUCCUCGACCUAUACUCUGGGACUCUUAUUUCUCUUCUAUUCGGGUUAAAUGAUUUUUGCUAAAUCUAACAUUAGGAUCUCGUUAUCGCUUUCACCCGGAGAGCCCCUUAUUAAUGAUGAUCGUCUACGGCACGUGAAGACCCUGAAGAUACUCUCCGUUGUUAACCCGAGAACUUAUGUUCAUCGCGUUUGCAAUUCCCCUUCCACCGUCAACCCUUAUGGAUAACUACUUGCAGUUGUUAUUCUUACAUUCAUCCCCAGUUGGUCUUGUUAUUACCAGAUACCUCGAAACACUCGUCGUUGUCUCGAUAAUCCUUUGAGCUUAUCGCCUUGCUGUUCCUUGUCACCUGAAUACCCCUAUGGAUAAUUCUCGCACUUAUCGAGUAUCCGCUCAUCCCCUAGUUGUUCAUGUGUUUGACAAUGGUCUUCGAAAUACUAUUUGAUCCUCCAAAAAUCCUUAAUAGCUUAUUGCUCUGCAAUACUUGUCUGCUUGCAUUAUGGAUGCUUUCCAUAUGUCUGGCAAUAUUCGUUAGUAUCCUUAGGCAUCGUCAUUUUGAUCCUAUUGAUUCAGCAUGUGUGCGAAUGCACACAAUCAUCUAUCAACCCUUCUAAAUUAUCCUUCCGGCUCAGACAUCAUUUUUGAACAUGAUCUGGUUCUCGACCAAACUAUUUGUCGUCAAUUGUGCCUCUGGUAUAUCCAACUUAUCCAUCCUUGAUCAGAGCGACUGCUUCUGAUCCUUUGUUUUGGAAAUCAAAAUUCCUUUAUUAUCUAAGCAUCGAAUCAUUCCGAUGUUCAAUAAUAUGAUGCCCGUGCAUUCUUCUUCCUCUGGUUGAGUACCGGUGCUCACCUCAGAUCCCUUGUGGACCAUCAGCUCCUUUGUUGGAUUUUAUCUGACAACGCCCUUCAUAUUCAAUAAACUUGUGAGCCUUAUUCUCGGAUACAUAAUGCCUUUGGUAAAUUGUAUCAUCUGCUUUCUCAACCAUGCUCUGCCUUCGAGCUUGAGUUAAUUACUUCAAAAAAAAAUUCUGGUAUAGGAUUCUAAGAUGCCCCGAUGGGUUGAACCUAUGCCUUCCUUAAUAUGUGUGAACUCGAAAGUUUUCACGAGUCGUACUCUUCUGGUAUUUUGCCAGAUAAAAUUUCAAAACUACAACUUCAUUGAGCGCGAGAAGUGAAUGAAAGGUUGUGCAUUGGAGAAGUGGGAGUCGACCUUGAACUUUGCGUUCAUGCCCAUGGACACGAUGUACAUCUUCUCAUCGAAGCUUCUUUUAAAAUCAAUUAUUCCCUUGGUAUAAGUUCAUCUUAUAUCUGAGAUCUGGCCUUUUUGCAAUCGUGGUUCUGACCAUGUUCUCCUUUAAAUAUCAUGUCCUGUGCAAGUUUAAGCACUUGUCUUCUAUAGAGCAAUACCCCAGUUCAACUUCUAGUUUGAUCUGUCGUCGAGUAUUACCACCUGGUAUCUCGAGAUUAUCAUGGAACUGCAUAACUUCUUAUGAGUUCUUCAUCAAGUGCUACGUUCCCACUGAUUACAAUUUUUCAUGGGCUCUGAGUUAUUAAACACUCAAAGACACCGAUAACUAAACCGAGUCCGCUCUACGGUUCAGCAACUCUUCAGUAAGCUUCUAUAAGUACGAGUUUGUACCCGAUCACGCCAUUCCUAGCCUGUUUGGCUAUAUCAUUAUCAUGACGAUUCUAACGAUGCUACCUGGUCCUUAUUCUCGGAGCACCAAUUUUCGACGAUGAACUAACCUUACGUCGAUUUUCCUCGUCAUACCCUUUCACCUUAAACAACAAGCUUGAGUUCGAGUUUGUGUCGUACCCAUGGUUCCAAUGACUUUUUGGCUUCAUCAUUCCUUUGACUUGAUGUCGUCGCUGAUUGAUUACUUCUUCAUGAAAUCUGUCGACAAAUGUGUCGUGAUCCUCGUCAACCUUAUGAGUUCUUCCAGGAUAUCAAUUGAAUUCAUGAUGAGAAAUACCAUCCUUGUCCCUCGAUGAUUUGAAUUAUCAUCGGCAACAUUCUUGCCUUCCCCCCCCCCCAACACAAACUUGUUCACAAUUUGUGUUGUACCUUGGUUUCCUUGCUAUCCAGCAAUUGUUCUUCUUUACCUUGGAGUAUUACCGUCCUUUAUGUCAAGAAUGUUCUAAGAUUUGUUCCACCUCUUGAGGAUUCUUGACAUAGAAAUACUUCUCACCAUCACCAUUCUUUCUUGGUCCCUGUGUUAAUUCCAACAAGUGAACGGUGUUGUUUGGAUUCCUUCCUUCUAGCAACCCUAUCUCUUUGAAGUUAAUGGUCGAAAGUUCAUUCUUAGGCUAUUGAUUAUUGCAUCACCAUUCUGACAUUGGUCGUGCAACCCAACCCAUAUUUCGGGCGCACCUUUCAACCAAUGUUUAAUUGUGUAUGUUUUCCUCGAGCAUACUUCCUUAUAUCAUUUGAUCUGACAAAUGUUAUCUCCUUGUUCACUUAAUUGUGGACAUCCAUCUUUUAGGAAUCUCGGUGAAUUGCCGUUGAGUUCACCAGACACCUCCUUGUCCUCUCCUUGGGUUAAUGAUGGACUCUUGAUAACGGAAAUCACUUCAUAGUUCAUUUCCCCGAGAAUCCUACAAUGUCAUCUCGUCAAUUUGCGUUGCACCUUUUCUUCUCAGGUAUCCUAAGUCUGAGGUAUCCUGACACCAACCGGAUCUGAAUCUCGGUCAGAUAUGAUGGUUGGGACAUAUAUCCAAGAGUUGUAACAUUGAUCUCUACGUGACCCGGUAACAUGAUGUCAUGACUAGCACCCCCCCUGGGUGGAGGACCUAUCGUUAUAAUUUCUUUUGCAAGGACAACCAUUCUUCAUGGAGGAAAUUGUAAGACUUAUUCUACAAGUUAUUCCUGAUGGAUCCUUCGUGUUUCCAAAGUCUGAUCUUCACCUGAAGACCAUGUCAAUGCUAUCUCGAAGCAUGUUAAUGGUACUCCGAUUUUCAAUAGGAACAUUUGAAGCAUGAUGCUAUAUUUUAAUUAUCAAUUAUCCUAACACCGUUGUAUGAGUAAUAUCAUGAGAUUCCUCCCCCCUUACCUAAAUGGUUUUCUACAUUAUAUCCUGCCAAGGAUAUCAUGCUCUGCUUGUCCUUGGGAAGGAUAUACCCCUGAUAUAUGUGUUUAAACACGUUUUCCUUUCCAUUAUUUGUUUUAACCUUUCUUGUGAUCUAUAUAAUCUAAGCAGUAAUAAUUCACUGCGUAGGUAAACACCUCGGUGUACAACUCUGACAGUGAGACCCUGUUUCUAUUGUUGAUGGCAUUUCGGUAACCGCCGAUGGAUGAGAACUUUGCCUCUUGGCCCGCCUCGUUCCACGAGCAGGAAAGUAGUUCUCUUCGUCCCUCGCCCUUGGUAUCGAUGUUGUCGCCGACAUAAUCGACAGGCUACCCCCCCUGACAUGCCUAGCUUGCAUGAUCAUGCAAGACGUCUCCGCCCUUCCUACUUCUAACCCACAUGGUGGGCCCAUAACCCACAGGUCCACUGGAUCGAAACCUGACUCUCCUGUACGACCCUGUUUCUAGUGGUUAUUCCCCCACGCUUGGUUUCGUAUUUAAUUCAUGGGCCACCUUCCUAGUGCUCUAUUAUGGUAUCAGACGCAAUAUUUACUGUCGCUACUCUGAACCCCUUUCUCACUCUGGUUCGGACUUCGAGCAACCACCUAUCCGCUUGGAACCUCUUAUUGUACCUUCGUACCUUACUCUCGAUGUAUUUUAUAUGUUCAACUCGAGAGAUAAUCUUAUGCUCAUUCAUGGGUUAACCCCAGAUUGUUUCCCUCAUAAGCAUUAUGUCGUAGCCGAGCUGCCCCUUACCUAUUCGUAAGUACGAUGGAGAUCCUGAAGAAAGGAUGCUGACUUCAUCAUGAUGACUGGAAGAAGAGUAAUGAAGACAUCAAUGUAAUGGAUNNNNNNNNNNNNNNNNNNNNNNNNNNNNNNNNNNNNNNNNNNNNNNNNNNNNNNNNNNNNNNNNNNNNNNNNNNNNNNNNNNNNNNNNNNNNNNNNNNNNNNNNNNNNNNNNNNNNNNNNNNNNNNNNNNNNNNNNNNNNNNNNNNNNNNNNNNNNNNNNNNNNNNNNNNNNNNNNNNNNNNNNNNNNNNNNNNNNNNNNNNNNNNNNNNNNNNNNNNNNNNNNNNNNNNNNNNNNNNNNNNNNNNNNNNNNNNNNNNNNNNNNNNNNNNNNNNNNNNNNNNNNNNNNNNNNNNNNNNNNNNNNNNNNNNNNNNNNNNNNNNNNNNNNNNNNNNNNNNNNNNNNNNNNNNNNNNNNNNNNNNNNNNNNNNNNNNNNNNNNNNNNNNNNNNNNNNNNNNNNNNNNNNNNNNNNNNNNNNNNNNNNNNNNNNNNNNNNNNNNNNNNNNNNNNNNNNNNNNNNNNNNNNNNNNNNNNNNNNNNNNNNNNNNNNNNNNNNNNNNNNNNNNNNNNNNNNNNNNNNNNNNNNNNNNNNNNNNNNNNNNNNNNNNNNNNNNNNNNNNNNNNNNNNNNNNNNNNNNNNNNNNNNNNNNNNNNNNNNNNNNNNNNNNNNNNNNNNNNNNNNNNNNNNNNNNNNNNNNNNNNNNNNNNNNNNNNNNNNNNNNNNNNNNNNNNNNNNNNNNNNNNNNNNNNNNNNNNNNNNNNNNNNNNNNNNNNNNNNNNNNNNNNNNNNNNNNNNNNNNNNNNNNNNNNNNNNNNNNNNNNNNNNNNNNNNNNNNNNNNNNNNNNNNNNNNNNNNNNNNNNNNNNNNNNNNNNNNNNNNNNNNNNNNNNNNNNNNNNNNNNNNNNNNNNNNNNNNNNNNNNNNNNNNNNNNNNNNNNNNNNNNNNNNNNNNNNNNNNNNNNNNNNNNNNNNNNNNNNNNNNNNNNNNNNNNNNNNNNNNNNNNNNNNNNNNNNNNNNNNNNNNNNNGCCCGAGCCCCGCCUCGCUCUGCCGAGGCGCUGCUCGCUCGCGUUGCGCCGCCCGCGCGUCGCCCUACUCCCAUCCCCCCUCCGAGCCGCACUGCUGGUGCUGCUCGCCAUGGCCUCUCCCGCUGCCGCAGGCCGCCCGGUUACCGCUGCUGUGCCGCUCCCCACGCCAGGACCGCGCCUUCCCUGGCCGAGGCCGUGGCCACCGGCCUCCCCCUGCUCCGGCGCUGUGCCGGAUCUGCCCGCCCAUGGGCGUGUGCCCAUUCGGGUGGCGCCCGUCGCCUACACGCCCGACCCGAUAGGCCUAUGGGCCUUUGACAAGGGGCCCCACCGCCCCAGAACGUUUUGUUAAAAAAAGAAAGGAAUUAAAAAUAAUAUAUAAAAUAAAUAAAAUAAAUGAAUAGAUAAUAAUAAUUUAAUUAAUUAAUUAAUUAAGGAAUUAAUUAAGUUAAUUAAUCAUAAUUACAUUAACCUAACUAACUAAUUAGUUUAAUUAAACAAUAGUUAGAUUAGUUAAACACUAAUUAGACUAAACAGUCAAUCACUAGUGGGACCCACACGUCAGUUGACCAGUCAACACCUCUGUUGACUGCUGACGUCAUGCUGACGUCAGCAAAAACUGUUUUGGAUAAUGUUGAAUUUAAAUAAAUAAUUAAAAUUAGAAAAUGAUUAAAUCUUUAGAAAAUCAUAUCUUUUAAUCCGUAACUCGGAUGAAAAUACUUUCUACAUGAAAGUUGAUCAGAACAACGAGACGAAUCCGGAUACGCGGUCCGUUCGUCCGCCACACACCCCUAACCUAUCGAACCUGCAACUUUUCCCCUCCGGUUCCUCUGCCCGAAAACACGAAACACCGGGAAUACUUUCCCGGGGGUUUUCCCCCCCUUCACCGGUAUCACCUACUACCGCGUUAGGGCACACCGAACACCGCGUAUUGCCUUGAUAUAUUUUGUGGUGCUUUGUUUGCCCCGUAUUCAUUAUUUCUUCCCCCUCUUCUCUCCGGUAGACUACGAGACCGACGCUGCUGCUGACCAGUUCGACUACGGAGUUGACGACCCCUCUCUCUUGCCAGAGCAACCAGGCAAGCCCCCCCUUUGAUCACCAGAUAUCGCCUACUCUUCUCUAUACUGCUUGCAUUAGAGUAGUGUAGCAUGUUACUGCUUUCCGUUAAUCCUAUUCUGAUGCAUAGCCUGUCAUUGCUGCUACAGUCAUUGAUACCUUACCCACAAUCCUAAAUGCUUAGUAUAGGAUGCUAGUGUUCCAUCAGUGACCCUACACUCUUGUCCGUCUGCCAUGCUAUACUACUGGGCUGUGAUCACUUCGGGAGGUGAUCACGGGCAUAUACUAUAUACUUUACACUGUUACAUUACUGGUGAUACUGUUUGGAGAUGGGGGCUGAAGGGGCAGGUGGCUCCAUCCAGGUAGUGGUGGGCCUGAGUUCCCGACGGCCCCCGACUGUUACUUUGUGGCGGAGCGACAGGGCAGGUUGAGACCACCUAGGAGACAGGUGGGCCUGGCCUUGUUCGGCAUUCGCGGAUACUUAACACGCUUAACGAGAUCUUGGUAUUUGAUCUGAGUCUGGCUACGAGCCUAUACGCACUAACCAUCUACGUGGGAGUAGUUAUGGGUAUCCCGACGUCGUGGUAUCAGCCGAAGCACUUCAGACGUCAGUGACGGAGCGGCGCGCGCCGAAUUGGACUGGAACGCCACUAGGCUAGGUCUGCUUUCGGCCGCGUACGCAACAUGCAGGUGUGCUAUGGGCGAUGGGCCCAGACCCCUGUGCGCUUAGGUUUAGACCGGCGUGCUGGUCUCUCUGUUUUGCCUAGGUGGGGCUGCGACGUGUUGAUCUUUCGCGGCCGGGCAUGACCCAGGAAAGUGUGUCCGGCCAAAUGGGAUCAAGCGUGUUGGGUUAUGUGGUGCACCCCUGCAGGGAAGUUAAUCUAUUCGAAUAGCCGUGAUCUUCGGUAACAGGACGACUUGGAGUUGUACCUUGACCUUAUGACAACUAGAACCGGAUACUUAAUAAAACACAACCUUCCAAGUUCCACAGACAACCCGGUGAUCGCUUUUCUACAGGGCGACGAGGAGAGGAUCGCCGGGUAGGAUUAUGCUAUGCGAUGCUACUGGAGUUGCUAUUUGGAGAUGCUACUUGGAGGACUUCAAUCUACUCUCUUCUACAUGCUGCAAGACGGAGGCUGCCAGAAGCGUAGUCUUCGACAGGAUUAGCUAUCCCCCUCUUAUUCUGGCAUUCUGCAGUUCAGUCCACUGUUAUGGCCUCCUUACACAUAUACCCAUGCAUAUGUAGUGUAGCUCCUUGCUUGCGAGUACUUUGGAUGAGUACUCACGGUUGCUUUUCUCCCUCUUUUCCCCCUUUCCCUUCUACCUGGUUGUCGCAACCAGAUGCUGGAGUCCAGGAGCCAUACGCCACCGUCGACGACGACCCCUACUGCACCGGAGGUGCCUACUACUACGUGCUGCCCGCUGAUGACGACCUGGAGUAGUUUAGGAGGAUCCCAGGCAGGAGGCCUGCGCCUCUUUCGAUCUGUAUCCCAGUUUGUGCUAGCCUUCUUAAGGCAAACUUGUUUAACUUAUGUCUGUACUCAGAUAUUGUUGCUUCCGCUGACUCGUCUAUGAUCGAGCACUUGUAUUCGAGCCCUCGAGGCCCCUGGCUUGUAUUAUGAUGCUUGUAUGACUUGUUUUAUUUGUAGAGUUGUGUUGUGAUAUCUUCCCGUGAGUCCCUGAUCUUGAUCAUACACAUUUGCGUGCAUGAUUAGUGUACGAUUGAAUCGGGGGCGUCACAGGAGGUAAACCCGCAACUUUUUGCCCGUUUUCGGUAGAUGAAUAGUGCAUACGUUAGCAUAGCAUGCUUUGUGUUGCAUAUAUUAGCUGUGUAUUUAUUUGUUUCCUUCCCAUCUUCUCUCUCGGUAGAUCUCGGUAGCGACACAGUCCCCGAGACCGGCGCAGCUCCGGAGACUGAUGACACCACUGAUGACCCUGCCUUUGCCGCAGAGCAACCAGGCAAGCCCCCCCUUUGAUCAUCCCGAUAUCGCCCAUUCCAUUCUAUCAUUCUUGCAUUAGAUUUUGCUAUUGUUAUUGUUUGCUCCUAUUCUGAUGCAUAGCCUGCUUAUUGUUACCGUACCUGUUUUCCUAAACUGCUUAGUAUAGGUUGGUUAGUGAUCCAUCAGUGACCCCCCACCUUGUCCUUGUUCCCCUGCUUCAUCAUUGAAGACCCGAUCAACGGGAUCGAAGACCAGGCCCCUGCACCGCACAUCACUUUCCCCUUAGUUGCUCGACACUACUGGGUUACUAUCGAGUGCCGAGGGUGAGACUUCUACAACACUUCUGAUGUUAACCCUGUAGUGUAGUUAUUCGGUCGUGGUCAUCGAGGGUGAUUUCCUCUUUAACCACUUCCGAAAUGACUCUGUCGUGCAACCCCUCAAGUGUGGACCUCGAGGGUGGUCCCUCUUACGUUCACCUUGAUGUUUACAUCGAGUGGAAUUCACCGGGGGUGAUUCCUCGGGUUUUCCCCUUGAUGUUUGGACACACGGGUACUUGGACUUUACAACUGUUACUUGAAAAGGCGGGUCGACCCCAAGGGGUACCCGCGAGUGAUGUGGAGACGGGUUGACCUGGAGGGUGCCCGAGAGUUGAAUACGAGGCGUGGCCGGGCAUUUUUAGCCCCAUCCGCAAGUCCUCGAGACGGGGCAACGGGGCGACGGGGUCACAUCUUUCGUGAGUCUCUGCUCGUGACCGCACUACCAACACACUAACGGUUUGGAUAAUUGAUCCAAGGGUCCUCUGGCCUGAUAGCACUAACCAUCACGUGCGCAUAGUAUGGGUGUUCUGCGCCGUAUACAUCAGCCAAAGCUUAAUAUGCAUCAGUGACUGAGCGGCGCGCGCCGGGUUGGACUGGUAAGCACCUGCCUUUUUUAAGGAGGUAGCUAGGUCUGCUCACCGUCCGCCCACGCAACGUGCAGGAGUUCCCGGGGAGAUGGCCCAUGACCCCUGGGGGCAUAGGUUUAGUCCGGCGUGCUGACCUCUUUGUUAAGUCUAGGUCGGGUUGCGGCGUAUUGUUUGGCCGGGGUCGGGCAUGACCCAGGAAAGUGUGUCCGGCCGGAGUUAAUCGAGCAUGGUGGGCAAGUUGGUGCACCCCUGCAGGGAAGAAAACAUCUAUCGAUAGCCUGUCUUACGGUAACGGACACUUGGAGUUGUAUCCCGAUCAAUACAACUAGAACUAGAUACUUGAGAUGAGACUUGGAUAAGAGAUGAUAACUGGAUAGUAUGGCUCUGGGAUUGCUUUCUCGCAGGGAGUCGAGAAAGGAUCUCUGGCCGAGGUAGAUAACACUACUACUAUGUUACUUUAUGCUACUCUACUCCCUCCUGUUGCUGCAAGAUGGUGGUUUCCAUAAGAUGCUAGUCUUCGAUAGGACUAGGCCUUCUCUCUAUUCUGGCAUUUCUUCAGCCCAGUCCACAUAUACAACCUUCCUUUGAUAAUGUUGCAUAUGUAGUGUAGAUCCUUGCUUGCGAGUACUUUGGAUGAGUACUCACGGUUGCUUUGCUCCCCCUUUCCCCCCUUUCUUUUUCUUUCCGGUUGAUGCAACCAGAUGUCGGAGCCCAGGAGCCAGAUGCCACUGCCGAUGCCUACUACUACGUGGAGACCGUUGACGACCAGGAGUAGUUAGGAGGCUCCUAGGCAGGAGGCCUUGCCUUUUCGAUCGUAGAUGCUUUUGUGCUAGCCUUCUUAAGGCAAACUUGUCUAACUUAUGUCUGUACUCAGAUAUUGUUGCUUCCCCUGACUCGUUGUAUUCGAGCCCUCGAGGCCCCUGGCUUGUAAUAUAAAGCUUGUAUUAUUUGAAUUUGUGUCUAGAGUUGUGUUGUGAUAUCUUCCAGUGAGUCCCUGAUCUUGAUCAUACACAUUUGCGUGUAUGAUUAGUGUACGACUGAAUCGGGGGCGUCACAAGUUGGUAUCAGAGCUGACUGCCUGUAGGUAGCCCCCUUUCCAACUCCUUGGCCGAAGUUGAGUCUAGUCACUGAAAAACUUUUACUAACAUUGGUUGUGUGUCUUACGGGCCCACGUUGCCAUUGGGCAGUAUUAUGAUCUUUUACUCCUCGUCUAUACUCUAGGAUUCUGAUCUAUCUUCUAUUUGGGUUAAACAUUUUACUAACUCUGACAUUAGGUUCUUUUAACCACUUCCUCCCGUAGAGCCUCGACAUUAGCGAUGAUCGCUUGCUUCACCAGAAGAUUCUACGGAUACUCCUCGAUGUUUCCCGAGACCCUGUUCCCACUGCUUUGCAGUCCUAACCACCGAUAAGUCCCCACGGAUACCAUCCUUGCCGUUUGUACCUUCAUCCCAGUUGCUCUUGUUGUUACAAGUUACCCCUAACACUCUCCGUUGUUCCGAGAAUCCUUUGUGUCUUAUGCUUUGCAGCUUCUUUUUGCACUAUGGAUAACUCACUUACCCGGGGUCCGUUCCUCCCCAGUUGUUCACAUGCUUUCCAAAAUACUUUGAAAUGCUAUCUGAUAUCCCCAAAAUCCUCCGUGGCCUUUUACUUUUGAUUCCCCUCGCCUGCUUGUGUUAUGGUUAAUUCCAUAUGUCUAGCGAUAUUUAUUAAAAUCCUUUGUGAUUGUCACUCUGUUCCUACGGAUUCAACGUAUGUGCGACUACUCACAAUCAUCAAUUGAUCCAUAGGAAUUUACUUUCCGGCUCAGACAUCAUUCCGGAUAUGAGCUGGUUCUUGCCCAAUCAAGAUUCGAUCGGUGUGCCUCUAAGUCUGUUCAACCUAUCCAUCUUCGAUCGGAGCAUCUGAUCUGAUACACCAAUCUAGAAAUCCAAUUUCUUUGUAUUUAAGCAUCGAAUUAUUCAGAUGUUUCCAUAAACCGAUGCCCUUGCAUUUCUUCUUCUUCUGGUUGGAUGCUAAUACUCACAUCAACUCCGUCGUGAAUCGCCAGAUCCAUUGUUGGAUUGUAUCCGACAGUGUCCAUCGCAUUCAAAAACCUCGAGAGUUCUUCCCCUUAUACAUGAUGCCUUUGGCAAAUUGUAUCCUCUCCUUACAUUCGAGUUUGUGUUAUUUACUCCUGAAGACUGCGGUGUAGGUUCCUAAGAUGUCCCGGUGGGUUGAACCUAUGCUUUUCCUAAUCCAUGUGAACUCAAAAGUUAUGCGAGUCAUACUCUUCUGGUGCUUCACCAGAUAAAUCUUUAACACUACAACUUCAUCAAAAGCGAGAAGUGAAUGAAAGGUUAUGCAUUGAAGAAGUGGGAGUCGACCUUGAACUUAGUGUUCAUGCCCAUGGACCCGAUGUGAAACUUAUCAUGGAAGCUUCUUAUGAUAAUAAUAAUCCCCUUGUUAUAAGUUCAUCUGGUAUCUAUGUUUGGUCCUUUGCAACCAUGGUUCUGACCAUGAUUGUUCCCCUUUGAUUCCAUUUCUCGGACUAGUUAAAGUACUUGUCUUCUGCAGAUGAAUACACAUGUCCAAACUCUAUUAUGCCCUAUCUAUGAGUAUUACCCUCUAUUAUCUCGAGGAUAUCAUGCAUUGCACUACAUCUAAUGAACUUUUGAUGAAGUACUACCUUACCCUGUCUUAGUCACUUCAUGGGUUCUGGGUUGUCUUCAACCGAGACCACCGAACAAUGAAUCUAUUCUGCUCAGUGAUUCAGCACUCCUAGUACUUUGUUGCUAGGGAGUUGGAUACUCCAUCACAUCAUUCCUAGCCUGAUCGGCUAUAUUUUUAUCGUGUCAACUUUUAACUAUGCUACCUGGUCCUUAUGCCCGGAGCAACUUCCGACGACGAGCUAAGCUUACAUCGAUCUUUCUUGUCAUAUCAUUUCACCUUGAACAGCAAGUUUGAUUUUGACUUUGUGUCGUACUCAUGGUUCCAAUAGCCUUUCGCUUCGUCCUUCCUGUUACUUGAUGGCAUCUUCAUAGAGCCUCUCGACAAAGGCGUCUUGAUCAGCAUCAACAUUUUGACUUCUGUUGAAAUGGCAAUUGAAUUCAUGGUGAGAAAUACCAUCCUUGACUGUCGGUGUCAAGACCGGCGGAUCUUGGGUAGGGGUCCCGAACUAUGCGUCUAGGCGGAUGGUAACAGGAGACAAGGGACACGAUGUUUUUACCCAGGUUCGGGCCCUCUCGAUGGAGGUAAAACCCUACUCCUGCUUGAUUGAUAUUGAUGAUAUGGGUAGUACAAGAGUAGAUCUACCAUGAGAUCAGAGAGGCUAAACCCUAGAAGCUAGCCUAUGGUAUGAUUGUUGUUCGUCCUAUGGACUAAGACCCUCUGGUUUAUAUAGGCACCGAAGAGGGUUAGGGUUACACAGAGUCAGUUACAAUGGUAGGAGAUCUACAUAUCCGUAUCGCCAAGCUUGCCUUCCACGCCAAGGAAAGUCCCAUCCGGACACGGGACGAAGUCUUCAAUCUUGUAUCUUCAUAGUCCAGGAGUCCGGCCAACGGUGAUAGUUCGGUUAUCCGGACACCCCCUAAUCCAGGACUCCCUCAGUAGCCCCCGAACCAGGCUUCAAUGGUGAUGAGUCCGGCGCAUAGACAGUCUUUGGCAUUGCAAGGCAGGUUCUUCUCCAAAUCAUGUGUACCUGUUGAAUAGGGUCCGACUUCUUGUAAAUAUUGCGCUCCUCGGCUUCUACGCCCCAUAAUGGCUAUCUUCCACAUGUCGAACGAAUGCGAAUAGCCGGGGUAUUUUUACAUUUAUCCCCCUAGCUGCGCAAAUGAGCUGCCUAUAAAAGAGACGAGGAUCUAGAUCCGAAUCACACCAUUCUCCCUCGCGAGUAUUCAUCAGAGCGCAUCUGACAGAAAUCCAUUCCAUCACUAACGGUCGACGCGACUCCUCCUCUCGCCCUCCCAGCCCUCAACCUGGAGAUUGGGAGAGAUGCUCCGUCCCGCACAGUGAGCUAGCAGCGCUCCAAACCAAGGGAUUUCUUCCCCCAGCCUUCGUGGUUCCGGUUCGAGCCGGACUCGCCACCUAUAAGGGCGGAAAGCAAGCAGAGAGCGUCCCCAGCCCCUCCAAAGGAGAGCGGGUAUGCUUUGUCUCUUAUUUGAUAAGAGGGCUCGGAUUUCCAAUUCAUCCGUUUCUCUGGGGGCUCCUAGAGUUCUACGGCCUAUAGUUGCACAACCUUACGCCUGCCUCCAUUUUGCAUAUUGCGGGCUUCGUGGCCCUUUGCGAGCUGUUUUUGGGCAUCGACGCUCAUUUUGCGCUAUGGAAGAAGCUGUUCUGCCUUGUGCCCCGUUCUCAAGAGGGGUCAAUAUAUCAAGUGGGCGGAGCCGAACUAUGGCGCAUCGCCGGGACCGGAUAUCUAUCCGGAACCCCGAAGAAGGCGUCCGAAGACUGGCCUUCGGCAUGGUUUUAUAUAGAAGAUGUCCCCCUGCCAGACCCUGUUCGGGUCGGCCUCCCUGAGUUUAGUAACGCUCCUUUGAAGAAACGCCUAAGCUGGUGUCCACGGAGCACUCAGAGGGAAAACGACAGGGACGUCAUUUACCUGAUGAGCCGGAUAAGGUUGUUAGCUCAUUCUGGACUGACCAUGAUCGGGGUCAUGGCCACAUGCAUUAUGCGGGGGGUGCAGCCGCUCCAGUAUAGAGGCCACCCCAUGUGGGAUUUCAACGGGAAGGAUGAUGCCACCCGCUGUGGCCGUAAGGGGCCGGGACCGGUCGCCGAUCUGAUGAAGAUCUUGUCCGCAUUGUACAAGGGAGAAGAGGAGGAAUUCCUCCGCAUCAAUCCACAGGGCGGAUUUUCUAUGAACAAUCCUCCAAGCUGGGUAAGCGGACAUUUAUUUUUGCCUAUCCGAUCCGUAUUCCCAUAGUCAAGUAUCCCAUUUUGUGAUUUUGGCGCAGGAACUGCGCCGGGCCGUAAAGGAUAUAAACAGCCCGCCUCCACAACCCGAGGAUCCGGAACGGUUCCUCGAUCCGACCUCCCAAGAGGAUCCGGACAUAUCGGUGGAGCUGAUCGACGGGUUUUCCACCAACUGAGCAUCGAUAAUGCCUUGGUCGCCAUUACGGCCAAUUACCCCGGAAUACUUCCCGCCUCGCAGGUAACUAAGACCGAAGUCCCAAUACUUUGAAAAUGACCCGUCUGUGCAUGUUUUUAAUCACCGUAUACCAAUGGUGUUUCGCAGGGGAAGUCCUUGAGGCGGAAGGCCGAGCCUGCGAUGGCCGGCCAACAAGGGACAGCAAGGCCCAAUAGGCCAAAAAGAAGUGCAGUCCAGAUUGAAAUGCCGAUGCAACGGUAUGGCGUGUCAUCUUGCUCCCAGGUUUUAGUCUAGGGGCAUACUAAUGAUCAUGCUUUUUCAGGACGAAGAGCGCUCGCCGGACUAUAUCCGGAGAGGUUGCCAAUCAAUCCUCCGCUCGCCAGGCUCCAACGCCAGGUCCAGAGGCGGAGGCGAACACGAGGCGUGCGUCGGAUGCUCCUCCGACAGAGGAUGCCGACAGGUUAUCUGCCACCAAUUCUGAGGUGGAGAGUGCAAUGAAUCACAGGCGUCGCCGGACAGUUCUUCGUCACGCAUGUUUUUUCCCAGAGGCAUUGGAUGCCUUCAAUUCCAGAGAUGUGCACCUCCGUGCCGCUCAAAAUGGUCUAGCCAGAGCCACGGAGCAGUAUGUAAAAGACAUACGGGUGAGAAAAUUUGACAGUUAUAUAUGCCAGUAACCCCCGAGACUUAAAAUAGUUAGAAUAACUGAUUUAAGGAUCAUUUAUUGUGCACGAUCUUAUAGAAAAGAAUACCCAACUGUCCCAGGAGCUGGAGGAGUGCAAAGUCCAAAUUGAGGCCGCACUAGCCGCAUCGGGGGAAGCCAAAGAGGCCCCCUCUGGUAAUAUAUGCUUCCAAAGAUAAGUGAUUUGUGAAGUGCGGCAUGUGUAUAAGUCUGACAAUAAUAUUGCAGAUGGCGCCGGGGUAGAUCUGGACAAGCAACAACUCAUGCGCCAGUUAAAGGCCGGCGAGAAUGUGCUUACAAGGGUGAGACAGGAGAAAAAUAAUCUCCAAGAUGCCAACACCCAGCUGGGUGAGGAACUAAAGGAUGUUCGUGCCCAGCUAUCUGACUCUGUUAAGGAGAAUCGGCGGCUUCGACGCGACAUUUUUAGUAAGUGCUUGAACGAACUUUGAAAAAUAGUUCGGCGAGGAAGUCGACUAACAGAGUUAUGUCUGUAGGUAUGCUCACAGGCCGUCCUGCAGAGGAAAUGCCUGGUUCUACGGGUGACCUUCUUCCUGAGCUCUUGCAACGGUACGAACGAGUUCGGCAGGUGAUGAAAGGCGUCGCCCAGGCCUUGUGGCCAUAUGUCUCCCUGCCGGAAGGCCUUGGAGAGAUUGCAGAGAUGCUUCAGGGAGCGCGGCAGCGCUUCCGCUUAUGGAAGAUAUCGGCCUGCCAUCAAGGCGCCAGGGAGGCCUGGGCCAUGAUGAAGACGCGGUACACAAAGGCUGACCCAAACCACAUGGCCGAAGUCGGACCUGCGGGGCCCGAUGGGAAGGAGAUCCCUGUGAGCUUGGUGUAUGACCAAGUAGAAUUGGCCGCAAAGUAUUCCCAACGGGACUGUAAACUAGACAGCCUGCUGGAUGGCAUUGAAGAGGAAUAUGCCCAGUCAAGUUGACUAUGUAAUUUAAGAUGACAUGUAAAAUGCCUUCUAGCCGGAUUGUAGAUCGUUUGUCAUAGCAGACCUUUUCACUUCAACCUCGGGACCCGAUAGUCUGGAGUGUGUCCGAAUACCCUCGCGGUUAUAUAAGAACCGGGGCAUGCGUGGAGACAAGGCGUAGGGGUCAUUAGUGUUGUAUCAGACAAGUGCCCAACUAGUUAUGCUAUAUUGCAUGGUUAGUAAGAAACAUCUUCCAGGGAGAAUAGUUCCGUUAGGGGUUCCUUUCCCCAGGGGCAUGCCCUAAAGUGCAUGUCCGGACUGCGAAAAAAGCAGAAAAACAUCUGGGGGCAGAUAAAUAAAUAGAUAAGAGGUCGUCUUUUAGUUCACCGACCGAAUAUUCCCUUAAGAACGCUAGCUUUCGGCUUCACCAGUCUGAGGUGCACAUCCGGCUGACCCGACAGUAACAAUCGCAGAGGUGCUCCCUUUACCACCUAGCCGAACAAUCGGGAACGUAGGGGUAAGCACAGGAGCCAGGCAACCCAGCUUGGCCAAAACUUAAGUCAUAUCGAUGCAUAUAAUGGUGAAUAAAAGGUACAUGCGGAAGUGUGACACAUGUGUUGGGCAUGAAGCCCGUAUAAAUAAGCUUCUGUUAAAGAAGCCCCCAGGUAUAAUGAGCGCGGAUAGCGCUUCAAGUGUGUGCGAACAAUGCGCGAACAAGCUUUCAAAGGCUAUAAUAGAAAAGGAGAGAGAAGGAGAGAAACAGAAGACAACUAAUAUGUAAAAUAUAGACGGAGGAAGGAGACGAACUCAGAAUCCGGCGCUAGGCGUAGAAUCUUCGGAGACGGGCUGCAUUCCAUGGGUUUGGCUCGAGUCGGUUAUCCGAUGCAUCUCACCGACGGUACGCUCCACCAGUCAGGACUUGGUCGAUGAUAAAGGGACCUUCCCAUUUGGGCUUUAGUUUGUCCUUUUUCUUGUCCGGCAGGCGUAGAACUAACUCGCCAACGUUGUAAGUUUUGGCCCAUACUUCUUUGCUUUGAUAUCUUCGAGCUUGCUGUUGAUAGAAUGCGGAACGGGCUUUUGCCACGUCACGCUCCUCCUCCAAUGUGUCCAAACUGUCCUGCCGAUCGAGCUCGGCUUCUCUUUCUUCGUACAUGCGCAUGCGAGGUGAGUCAUGAAUUAUGUCGCAGGGCAGAACUGCCUCUGCGCCGUAUACCAUAAAGAAUGGUGUAAAUCCGGUGGUGCGAUUCGGAGUGGUCCGGAGCCCCCAGAGUACAGAGUCGAGCUCCUCUACCCAGUGCAUGUUAGAUUCCUUGAGGGACCGCACUAGUCUGGGUUUGAUGCCGCUCAUGAUUAGACCAUUUGCUCGCUCUACUUGACCGUUAGUUUGAGGGUGAUAGACUGAAGCAUAGUCGAGCUUGAUGCCCAUGUUUUUGCACCAGAGUUUGACCUCGUCGGCCGUAAAGUUCGUGCCGUUAUCAGUGAUGAUGCUAUGGGGGACGCCGUAACGGUGUACGACCCCUGAUAUGAAGUCUAUCACCGGUCCGGAUUCGACCAUCUUAACAGGUUUGGCCUCUAUCCAUUUGGUGAAUUUAUCCACCAUGACCAGUAGGUAUUUUUGCUUGUGGGUUCCUCCUUUAAGGUGUCCAACCAUGUCAAGCCCCCAGACCGCGAAGGGCCAUGUUAUGGGUAUAGUUUUGAGGGCGGUGGGUGGCAUGUGGCUUUGAUUAGCAAAGAGUUGGCAACCGACGCAUCGUUGGACUAAGUCCUGAGCAUCUGCCCGGGCCGUUGGCCAAUAAAAUCCUGUGCGGAAGGCCUUGCCUACAAGGGCCCGGGCUGCGGCGUGGUGCCCGCUGAGUCCGGCAUGAAUUUCAGCCAGCAGAUUCCGCCCUUCAUCUUCGGAGAUACACCUUUGAAGGACUCCGGUUGUGCUUUUCUUGUAAAGCUCUCCCUCAUGAACCUUAUAGGCUUUAGAUCGCCGCACUAUGCAGCGGGCCUCGUUUUGGUCCUCCGGAAGUUCCUGCCUGGUUAUGUAGGCUAGGAAUGGUUCCGUUCACGGGGCAAUGACUGCCAUUAUUAUGUGGGCUGAAGAUGUUACUUCAUUGGCAGAACCACCAAUUUUGUCAGAAUGUUUGGUGUCGGGCAAUGCGGUUGGGUCCGGGUUGUUAUUUCCGGAUUCCCCCUCCCAUAGUAUGGAUGGCUUGAACAUUCUCUCUAGGAAGAUGUUGGGAGGAACGGCAUCACGCUUUGCGCCAAUGCGCGCCAAUACGUCUGCUGCCUGGUUGUUAUCCCGGGCUAUAUGGUGAAAUUCGAGCCCUUCAAACCGAGCUGACAUUUUUAGGACAACAUUGUGAUAAGCUACCAUUUUCGGAUCCUUGGCAUCGAAGUCUCCAUUUAUUUGGGAUAUCGCGAGGUUCGAAUCCCCGCACACCUCUAGGCGUUGAAUGCCCAUGGAGACUGCCAUCCGGAGGCCGUGUAGAAGGGCCUCGUAUUCGGCUACGUUGUUGGAGUCCGUAUACAUUAUCUGGAGUACGUAUUGAACCGUAUCUCCGGUUGGGGACGUCAAAACGACGCCAGCCGCCAGACCAGCCAACAUUUUGGAGCCGUCGAAGUGCAUUAUCCAGUUGGAAUAUGCGUCGUACUCUUUAGGGAGUUCGGCUUCAGUCCAUUCGGCGACGAAGUCGGCAAAAACUUGCGACUUAAUAGCUCGCCAUGGCUUAUAGGUUAUGUCGAACGGGAGGAGCUCAAUGGCCCAUUUGGCAAUCUGGCCCGUCGCGUCGCGGUUGUUUAUAAUGUCGUUAAGAGGUACUUCGGAGGCUACUGUUAUCGAACACUCUUGAAAGUAGUGUCGCAGCUUCCGGGAUGCCAUGAACACCGCGUACGCUAUCUUUUGAUAAUGUGGGUACCGUGACUUGCAUGGAUUUAGGACAGUGGACACAUAGUAAACUGGUUUUUGUAGGGGAAACCCGUGUCCGUCCGUUUCUAGUUCGACAACGAGCACUGCGCUCACAACUUGAUGAGUUGACGCUAUAUAUAAUAGCAUUGGUUCGCCCAUGUUGGGCGCGGCCAGGACCGGGUUUGUUGCCAAUAUGGCUUUUAUUUCUUCGAGUCCGGCCGUGGCGGCAUCCGUCCACUAGAAGUGUUCGGUGCUUCGGAGGAGGUGAUAAAGAGGUAAUGCAUUUUCUCCUAAACGGGAGAUAAAGCGGCUCAGAGCCGCCACACAUCCCGUCAAUUUUUGUAUUUGUUUGAGGUCCUUUGGGAUAUCCAAUUGUGAUAGAGCUCGGAUCUUGCCUGGGUUUGCUUCAAUUCCUCUACCAGAUACAAGCCCAAGAGCUUUUCGGCUGGUACGCCGAAAAUGCAUUUUUCCGGGUUAAGCUUAAUGUCAUAUGUUCGGAGAUUAUCGAACGUGAGCCUCAGAUCGUCUACUAGAGUUUCGUCGUGCUUGGUUUUGAUGACCACAUCGUCCACGUAUGCCUCCACUAUUUUGCCGAUCUAGUUUGCCACACAUGUCUGAAUCAUGCGCUGAUAUGUUGCGCCGGUGUUUUUGAGCCCAAAGGGCAUUGUGUUGAAGCAGAAUGGGUCGUAUGGGGUGAUGAAUGCAGUUGCGGCCUGGUCGGGCUCUGCCAUCGUAAUUUGGUGGUAGCCUGAGUAUGCGUCGAGGAAACACAAUGAGUCGUGUCCUGCGGUAGCGUCGAUAAUUUGAUCGAUGCGGGGGAGUGGGAAGGGAUCCUUUGGGAAAGCCUUGUUGAGGUCCUUAAAAUCGACACAUAGGCGCCAGGAUUUGUCCUUCUUUGGUACCAUCACCAGGUUUGCUAGCCAGUCUGGAUGUUUUAUAUCUUUGAUGAAUCCGUCCUCCAAUAAUUUGGCUAGCCCCUCUCCCAUGGCAUGUCUCUUGGUUUCAGAGAAACGUCGAAGAGCCUGUUUGACUGGCUUGAAUCCUUUUAGGAUGUUUAGGCUGUGCUCGGCCAGCCGGCGUGGGAUUCCUGGCAUGUCUGAAGGGUGCCAGGCAAAAAUGUCCCAAUUUUCGCGUAGGAAUUCUCGUAGUGUGGCAUCUACAUCAGGGUUUAAUUGUGCCCCAAUGGAGGCUGUUUUUGUAGGGUCCAUUGGAUGGACUUGGAAUUUGACUAUUUCGUCCGCUGGUUUAAAGGAGGUGGACUUGGAUCUCUUAUCGAGUAUCACGUCGUCCCUAUUCACCGUGGAGCGCAGCGCAGUGAGUUCCUCGAUCGCUAGGGCUUCGGAUAGUGCCUCAAGGGCUAGUGCGGUUGUCUUGUUUUCGGCGCGGAGUGCUAUGUCCGGGUCACUAGCGAGAGUGAUGAUUCCAUUGGGCCCGGGCAUUUUGAGCUUCAUGUACCCGUAAUGGGGUAUAGCUUGAAAAAUUGUGAAUGCUUCUCGCCCUAAUAGAGCAUGAUAUCCGCUGCUGAAUGGGGCCACUUGGAACGUGACCUCCUCGGACCUGUAAUUAUCCCGUGUGCCGAACACCACAUCCAGUGUGAUUUUUCCUGUGUAGCAUGCUUCCCGACUGGGGAUUAUUCCUCUAAAGGUUGUGCUGCUUCGCUCAAUGCGGCUCCAGUCUAUUUCCAUUUUUCGGAGGGUUUCCUCGUAAAUGAGGUUCAAUCCGCUGCCACCGUCCAUGAGUACCUUGGUAAGGCGAAAGCCGUCCACUAUUGGACUGAGGACCAAUGCGGCUGGUGCUCGGGCUAUUCGGAAUUUAGGUUCGUCACUGGCAUUAAAGGUAAUGGCCGUGUCACUCCAUGGGUUUAUUGUUGCUACUUGGUAGACUUCGGCAAGGCUGCGGAGUGUUCGUUUCCGCAUAUUAUUUGAUGUGAAAGUCUCAAAGACUGUUAAUACCGUACUGGUAUCCUUGGGCUGGUGCUCUGGAGUUAGAAGCUCUUCGCCACUUUUGGCCACCUGCCGUAGUAUCCAACAUGCUCUAAGGCUAUGAGUUGGAGUGGCGCCCUCUGUACUAUGAAUUUUGCAGGGUCCAUUGAGCCAUCCUUCCAAUACGGUUCCAUGCCCUAUAGAGGGUUUUUGCUUUUUGGUUUUUAACCCAGGUGCCUGGCGAUGAUGCACCCUUUUAUUUCAGACUGGGAUUGUAUUCAGGGCCGGAUUGUCCCAAAAAUUGAUUUCGGUUUUCUAGGCGCUUUCCAUCGCACAGUACUUUCGUACUAUGGACGCCAAGUCAGCGAAGCGUGUGAUUUCACGACGACUUACGGCGUUGAGGAUUCCCUUGUCCAUGCAAUUAGUGCAGAAGAAUGAAAUUGCGUCCUCCUCACAACAAUCCUUUAUCCUGUUUAUGACCAGGAGGAAUCUCGCCCAGUAAUGGUGUACUGUUUCUGCGGGCUCUUGCCGGAUUUGUGAUAGAUCGCUUGUGUUUGGGUGGGCGGGUGGAAUUAAAUUCGGAACCCCGUCCAAUAUAAAACUCAGGGGCCAAGAAGUUUCCGAACUUGGAAGCUUGGGUUCUUGGAUGUCGUCCAAUGAAUCUAGCCCGCUGCCUGACUUUAGGUUCAGGCCUUGAGUGACGUCCUCCCCUCCGCGGGAAUCCGGCAUGGAGGGAUCGGGAAUCUGGACAUAGCUAGUCCUUGAGAUAGAAGAGUCGCCGCAUUGUUCCUCUGCCACAACAAUGCAGUGGGUAACCUGGGGAGAGUUAAUCUCUCUCAGAUCGGGUUUAAGCCCAAUCUGAUCGUAGUCUGUAGCGACUCCCAGGGCGGCGAUGCGAUCCAAGAGCUCGUUUAAGGAAGAGAGCUCCAUCGGAUCUAACUGCUCGGCGAGUUCCUAGUUAACGUGAAGGUUGCUUUCGAUGACCCGAGAAGUCAUCGUCGGUGCGGUGGCCGGACAGGCGGUCAUAAGGAAACCACCUAGCCGGAGAGUUUGGCUGAUAGCCAAAGCUCCUUUAGCAACAAGUGCCGUUUUUAAAGACGGGAUGAGGCAUCCUUCCUGAUGGCGACGGCACAGAGGAACUCUCAAUGAAAGCACCAAUGUCGGUGUCAAAACGGGCGGAUCUUGGGUAGGGGGUCCCGAAUUGUGCGUCUAGGCGGAUGGUAACAGGAGACAAGGGACAUGAUGUUUUUACCCAGGUUCGGGCCCUCUCGAUGGAGGUAAAACCCUACUUCUGCUUGAUUGAUAUUGAUGAUAUGGGUAGUACAAGAGUAGAUCUACCACGAGAUCAGAGAGGCUAAACCCUAUAAGCUAGCCUAUGGUAUGAUUGUUGUUCGUCCUACGGACUAAAACCCUUCGGUUUAUAUAGGCAUCAAAGAGGGUUAGGGUUACACAGAGUCGGUUACAAUGGUAGGAGAUCUACAUAUCCGUAUCGCCAAGCUUGCCUUCCACGCCAAGGAAAGUCCCAUCCGGACACGGGACGAAGUCUUCAAUCUUGUAUCUUCAUAGUCCAGGAGUCCGGCCAAUGGUGAUAGCUUGGCUAUCCGGACACCCCCUAAUCCAGGACUCCCUCAUUGACCUUCAAUGAUUUGAGUUAUCAUUGACAACCCCCCUUGUCUUCUUUCCAACACAUGUUUGGUCAUGUAUUGGUUAUACCUUGGACUACUUGUUAUUCCUGCAAUUGUUCUUUGAGUAUUUCUUGUGAUCUUCAACUCCAACCCCUACUUGGAACACCAUGUCAAUGCUACCUCAAAGCAUGGCUGUGGUAUUCCAAGUAUCAACACGAACAUUGGAAGCACAUUGUCGAAUGUUUCUUGAUCUAUUAUCCAAACACUGUUGUAUGUGUAAUAUCAAGAUUCUUCCCUCACCCCCUUUAUCUAAAUGCUUUUGAACUUGCUGUCUUGUCAUGGAUAUCAUACUCUGCUUGUCCUUGGGAAGGAUAUACUCCUGAUAAUUGUGUUUAAACACACUUUCCUUUCCAAUGUUCUGAUUAAUAUAAUGAUCACCUUUUCUUUCCAUUGUUUUGUUUAACCUUUCUUGUGGUUUGUGAGAUCUAAGCAGCAAUAGUUCCCUACUUAUGGAAACACCUCGGUGUACAACUCUGUCAGUAAGACCCUGCUACUAUUGUUGAUGAUGUUCCGAACCACCAACGGACGAGAACUUUGCCUAUUGGUCCGCCUCGUCUUACGAGCAGGAAAAUAGUUCUCUUCGUCCCUCGCCCUUGGUACCAACGUUGUUGGCAACAUAACUGACAGUCUAUCAUCUGACAUGCCUCGCUAUGGCCCCCCUUUCUACUUUUAACCCACAUGGUGGGCCCAUAACCCACAGGUCCUAGGAUCAGAACCUUACUCUCCUGUAUAUCUUUGAUUCCAAAAUAUUCUUGCAUUUGGCUUCGUAUCAUGUCACGAGCCACCUUUUGAGAGAUGAUCUAUUCCAAUGCUCUGAACCCUUUGUCACACUCUGUUCAGGUAUCAAUCAUUUGUCCAUUUGCUUGAAACUUCCUAUUGUACCUUCAUACUUUGCUCUCGAUGUUUUAUUAAGUUUCAACUCAAGAGAUACUUCUGCCUCAUUCCCUGAAUUGUUCACCAGAUAAUUAACCCUAUAAGGGUCAGUUCUCUUGAAGUUACUCUUUACAUCCCCACUUAAAUCUCGGGACGAGAUUUCUUGUAGUGGAGGAGAUUUGUAACACCCCCAGUGUCAUGCUACAAUAAUCCCCAGUUAAUGGUGCCAUGUCAUCAUGUUACUGUUGCUAAUAUUCACUUGUUCCAAAUCAUGGUUCAAAUUCAAAUCCAAUGUAAAGUCAAAAAUUCAUAUUUGUCAGAGAUGAAAUCUAAAAUGUUCAUCUUGUGCCAAAUAAUCCCGUAACUAAUAUUGGUAGUGAAACAACAUUUUUACAAAGUGUUUGAGUGCACUAAACUAUCUAAAAUAGUGCUUAUAACAUUUGUUUAAAUGCUUUUUAAAUAGUAAACAAAUAUAAACCUAUUUUAUUAAAGGGCCAAGUCAUUUGUGGUAGUUAAAUUAAUAAUACUAAUUUAGGGGCUAGUGUUGUAUUUUACAAAAAUAAUAAAAUAAAACAAAUAGGGAAAAUACAAACUUAAAAAAAAAGCACACAACCACCUGCCGCUGGACAUAGGCCACCCAACCGAACCCCUCCCUUUGUCGUCUACCCCGCUACAGGAAGACGACCCGAGCCGAGUCCCAGCCGGAUUGCCUCGCCGGCGAACUCCCCCCGAUGGAUAAGAUCGCCACGGCCCUCGCCUCCUCGAUCCCCUCUCCCACUCGGCCCCCACUCGUUUUCUCUCUCACCCCUCAUCUAACCACCGCUCCCCUCCUCCAGAUCCGCCCGCUGCUGACCAUGCUACUGCGAUGGCCGUCAUCGCCUCUGCUCGUCCGCGUGGACACCAUCCUCGAGUCGCCUCCGCAGCGUGUCCAGGAGGUUUUCUAUCGUUCGCCUCAUCGUCUUCACCCACUGGAUCCAGCAGGGAGCCACCACAACAUCGACAUCGACCUCGUCUUCAUCUUCGGCCUCCGGAGCUCCGCCGCGUCAAUCCACUGCACUGCCGCUCCUAAGCUUUCGCCGGGCCGCUGUGUGCCUUCGCG
rnacentral:lncRNA from 1 species